GUGUAUUUUCGUUAAUGCAAUCUCCGUCCCUUAUUUUACAGAUUUAAUGGCCUUUUAUAGGCCGAAAAGGAAAAAAAUAAAAUAAAUAAAUCAUAUAUUUUGCUUGUUUUUCUCAUCCGGACUCUUUGAGUCCGUAUUUGCAGGUGAAAGUGGAGCAAAUGGCGCUCGUGGGGUGGUCGACUCCGUGACGUGCAGCGCCUGGGAUCUGCUGGCGGCGUCGGGGCAGACAUUCGGCUAGGGUUCUUUUUGUUUUUUGUUUUGCUUUGGGCCAGGGCUAUUUUGAGCCACUUAUUUGUUGGGUUAAUACUAUUUUCUUUUUUUGUUUUUAAACCCAGGCCGAUUGGGCCUUAUUACAGCUGCCCCUCUUUGCUCAUUGUCGUGUAACGAGAACAGAGCAAAGACUAUAAGGCCCAAUUGCGCCUGGCCAUAUUGAGCCUUAACUUUUUCAGUGCUUCUCUUCUAAUAGCCUUGUUCCUUCCUACUGCAUCUUUAGAGGUAUAGGAACUGGUGCUCCAAUCUAUCCCACUGGAAUGUCGGGGAGAUAGGAUUCAUAUGUUGUAGCUCCUCAAAAGAACAAAAUCUGCUAUCUUUAAUCUGCUCCACUGCAACUUCAGGGAGAUAAGACUUAUAGCUUCAACUUGUUCUGUUACAACUUAAGGGUAAAUCUGAUGUGAUCUGCUCUACUGCAACUUCAGAGAUAUGAGAUCUGUGGUUUUAGUCCACUCCAUUGCAACUCCUGGGAGAUAGGACCGAUUAUUUCUGUCUGCUCCACUGCAACUUCAGGGAGAUAAGACUUGUAUCUUCGAUCUACUUCACCACCAGUAUGGGAAGACAAUAUCUGCUUUCUUCGAUCUACUUCACGCCAAUACAUGAAGACAAGAUCUGCUUUCUUCGAUCGAUUCUACUGCCGACCGAGGAGAUAGAAUUACUGGCUUCAAUAUACUCCACUGCAACCUCAGGGAGGUAAAAUCUGCCAUCUUUGAUCUGCUCCACUACUGCUUAGGGAGAUAAGAUCUGUAAUCUUCAAUCUGCUUCACCACCAGUAUGGGAAGAUAAAAUCUGUAUAUUCGAUCCACUUCGCUACCGAUAUAGGAAGACAAGACCUACUAUCUUUGAUCUGUUUCACGCCGGUACAUGAAAACAAGAUCUGCUUUCUUUGAUUUGCUUCGCCACCAGUAUGGGUAAGCAAGAUCUGGUAUCUCUGAUCUACUUCACGCCAAUACAUGAAGACAAGAUCUGCUUUCUUUGAUCUGCUCCGCCACCAGUAUGGGAAGGCAAGAUCUGCUUUCUUCGAUCUACUCUACCACCUGUACGGGGAGACAAGAUCUGGUAUCUAUGAUUUACUUUACGCCAGUACAUGAAGACAUGAUCUGUUAUCUUUCAACCUGCUCCACUGUUGCUCAGGGAGAUAAGGCUCUAUGAUUUCACGAAUCUGCUCUCUGUGAAACAUGACCUGUAUGAUUCACUUUAUGAGCCUAAUUAUGCCUAAUGAUUAGGAUGUUAUGAUCAGAAUGAAUCAAAUGCUCCUAACUAGGCGUGUAAGAAUGACAUUUGAAUGUUAUGUCAUGAAAAAUGAAUAUUGAAUGUUUAAAGUCAUUAUUGCUCAUUAAGGCCUCCUUCGUGGCAACAACGCUUCGUCAAAACUUGAAAAUUUUAAAAUCUCGACUCUUGGCUCCUAGAUAUCUCUGACCUUUUAACCCGGUGAAGGUCUAAACAACAGUCUUGUUUCAGGUUCCUGAGUUAUUUAAAGAUUUCUAGAGUAAUAUGAAAAACUUCCCCUGUGAAAGUUUUAUUAGUCCAUUAAUCGUUACUCUAAUGCAACAUGUUUGCGAAAAGAUUACAACGAUGAAUAAAACAAAAUUAAUUUGGGAGCAUAGCUCGCAAUGGAUUGAAUUGUCUGGGGACAUUUAUAUUGAAGAAGAAUGAAAUAUUCUAAAACAACGAAUUCAAUACAAAUACUGUGAUCAGGUGCCCCAGAUAUCUUUUCUUGAAUUUCUCUAUACAAUUUUUCGAAGACCCUUCUGAAUUCAACAAGUGUUUAGGGGAUUCACAGUAUUUUGUUGAUGCCCCAAGAUGUCGUCUAUUCCUUUCUGCCGAUUUAGGUACAACAAGACUACCACGCGACAAUCAAAAUUUGAGUCGCCCUUUUCGGGUUUUCAACUCAAAUCCCCAUUGGUCUUAAGGUGCCCUUUGCGGAUUUUCAACCUAGCCUCUCCCUUCUUUUUUUUUGGAAUCAAAGCGCCCUUUGCGGGUUUUCACCUUGGUUCCUUCCCUUCUUCAAGUAAAGUACCUCUUCACCGAAUCUGAAUUUACCGAAUUAGGCAAGUUUUUUCCAUCCAUUUCAGCCAGGAUCAAGGCUCCUCCAGAAAAGGCCUUUUUUACAACAUAAGGACCCUCCCAAUUCGGCAUUCAUUUCCCCCUAAAAUCCUUUUGUAGAGGAAGAAUUUUUCUCAACACCAGGUCCCCCUCGUGAAAUUCUUUGGGUCAGACUUUCUUGUUGUAGGCUCGCAUCAUUCUUUUCUGGUACAUCUGACCAUGCUGAAUAGCCUUUAGCCUCUUUCCCUCUAUCAAGUUCAACUGAUCGUAUUGAGAUUGAACCCAUUCUCCUUCAUCCAAUUGUACUUCAGACAAAACCCGGAGAGAAAGGACUUCAACUUCGAUGGGCAAGACUGCCUCCAUGCCAUAAACUAAGGAGAAAGGCGUUGCCCCGGUGGAGGUCCUGGUUGACGUUCGAUAAGCAAGGAGGGCAAAAGGUAAUUUCUCGUGCCAGUCCCUGUAAGUCUCAGUCAUAUUUCCUACAAUCUUCUUUAUAUUUUUAUUGGCCGCUUCUAUCGCACCAUUCAUUUUCGGGCGAUACGGCGACGAAUUGUGAUGUCUGAUCUUGAAUUGACUGCAGACCUCUGCUAUUGAGCUAUUGUUCAAAUUCAGCGCAUUGUCGGAUAUAAUUCUUUCAGGCAUUCCAUACCGACAUAUGAUCUCUCUCUUCAAGAACUUACUGACUGAUGACUUUGUAACAUUAGCAUACGAAGCAGCUUAUACCCAUUUGGUGAAGUAGUCAAUAACCACGAAUACGAAACGAUGCCCAUUUGAAGCCUUCGGCGAUAUUGGCCCGAUAACAUCCAUACCCCACAUAGAGAAAGGCCAUGGAGAAGUCAUGACAUGAAGAUGUGAAGGAGGUGCAUGCAUUUUAUCACCAUAGAUUUGACAUUUAUGGCACUUCUUGGAAUAAUUGAUGCAAUCCCCUUCCAUGGUAGACCAGUAGUACCUGAAUCUCAUAAUCUGUCUGGCCAUUGUGAAACCACUAGCAUGCAUUCCACAGAUGCCCUCAUGGACUUCCUCCAAGAUUUUCUUUGCUUCCACAGCUUCCACACAUCUUAGCAGAACUUGAUCCUUUCCCCUAUUGUAUAAGAUCUCCCCAUCUAAGACGUAAUCAAUGGCUAGUCUUCUCAGAGUUCUCUUUUCAUUCUCUGUUGCCUGGCCAGGAUACUCACGAUUUUUUACAUAUUGUAGCAUAUCUUGAUACCAGGGACUAUCAUCGAUUUCUCCUUCUUCAAUAUUGUAACAAUGAGCCGGGUCUUCAUAGAUACUCAUUUGGAUAGGCUUCAUAUCCUCAUGUCUGUUCACCUUGAUCAUGGAGGCUAAAGUAGCUAGUGCAUCAACCAUCUGGUUCUCAUCUUAUGGGAGAUAGCAAAAAGUGAUGUCCUCAAACUCCCUAAUCAAUUCGAGGACCAACUUUCGAUAACUGAUUAACUUGGGAUCUCUCAUUUCCCAUUCACUCCUGAGCUGAUAUAUCACCAAUGCUGAAUCUCUAUAGACCUCUGGCACUUUGAUUUUCCGUUCUAUAGCUACACGAAUACCCAUGAUGUAUACUUCGUAUUCUGCCAUGUUGUUUGUACAAUCAAAAUCCAAUUUGCAAGUGAAAGGAUAAUGAUCACCAUUCGACGACACUAGGACUGCCCCAAUUCCAUUGCCCACAGCGUUCGAGGCUCCAUCAAAGUUUAACCUCCAACCGUGACCUUUUUGGGGAUUUUCCUCAGUAGCCGCUAUACACAUCAGGUCUUCAUUUGGGAAAUCAAAACUCAACGGCUCGUAGUCCUCCAGAGCUUUACUAGCUAGAAAGUCAGCAAUUGCACUCCCUUUCACAGCCUUCUGCCUCACAAAAACAAUAUCAAAUUCAGACAGUAAGAUCUGCUAUCGGGUCAUUCUCCCAUUCAAAGCAGUUGACUCCAUCAUAUACUUUAACGGGUCUAACUUUGAGAUUAGCCAAGUCGUAUGGUAUAACAUGUACUGCCUUAAUCUUCGGGUUGUCCAAAUCAAGGCAGAACAUAACUUCUCAAUAGGCGAAUAUCUCAUUUCACAGUCAGUGAAUUUCUUGCUGAGAUAGUAUAUCGCCCUUUCUUUUCUCCCCGUUUCAUCAUGUUGGCCUAGCACACAUCCCAUACAAUUAUCAAAUACUGUCAGAUACAAUAUCAGCGGCCUAUCCAGGCUAGGUGGUGACAGCACUGGAGUGUUAGACAAAUACUGCUUCACAUUGUUAAAAGCUUCUUCGCAUUCUUCAUCCCAAGUACCAGGAUUAUAUUUCUUCAGAAGACGAAAUAUAGGGUCACAUUUCUCAGUCAGUUGUGAAAUGAACCUAGCGAUGUAAUUCAGUCUUCCGAGGAAACCUCAAACUUUUUUCUGCGUACGAGGUGGAGGUAAAUCUCGUAUUGCCUUGACUUUGUCUGGGUCAAUCUCGAUUCCCUUCUCACUGACUAGGAAGCCUAGUAACUUUCCUGACCUGGCCCCGAAAGUGCACUUCGCUGGAUUAAGCUUGAGCUGGAACUUCCUUAAUCUUAAGAAUAAUUUUCUCAAGACCCGCACAUGUUCGCCCUCCGUUCUAGAUUUCGCGAUCAUAUCAUCAACGUAAACCUCGAUUUCCCUGUGCAUCAUGUCAUGGAACAAGGCUACCAUGGCUCUUUGGUAUGUCGCUCCGACAUUCUUCAAUCCAAACGGCAUCACUUUAUAACAAAACGUCCCCCAUAACGUAAUGAACGUAGUCUUUCUCAUGUUCUCGGGAUGCAUCUUUAUCUGAUUAUACCCAGAAAAAACAUCCAUGAAGGAAAACAAUGAAAAAUCCGCAGUGUUGUCUACCAAUGCGUCGAUGUGGGGCAAUGGGAAGUUAUCCUUUGGACUAGCCUUGUUCAAAUCCCGAUAAUCCACACAUAUUCGUACUUUUCCAUCUUUCUUUGGAACUGGUACGAUGUUAGCCACCCACUCAGAAUACUUGACUUCUUGCAGAAAUCUGGCAUCAAACUACUUUUGGACCUUUUCCUUUAUCUUCAACACGAUAUCAAGCCUCAUCCUUCUGAGCUUUUGCUGCACUGGCUUGCAAUCUUCUCUUAUAGGGAGACGAUGGACUACAAUGUCGGUACUCAACCUGUAAUGACCCAAAAUUUACGGGCAUCGAAAAAGUAUAAUAUCGGGCCUCCGUCUUAGUAAAUUGAGUCCGAAAAUAAUUAUUAGAAAUAUUUACGAGACUAGUUGUGUGUUUAAUUAAGUUUUAGAUAGAUGAAUUUAAUCUAAUUAAGAAUAAUUAGGAAAAAGGAUUAAAUUGAAUAAAGGGUAAAUGUUUAAUUAUAGAUCAAAAGAAAAUAAGAGGGACCAAAUGGGCAAUUAAGCCACAUUUGGAAGUUGAGGCGGCAUAACAUUGUAAAAAUCUUAGAUUUUUAUAUUAUUUAUUUAUAUAAAUAUAUAAAUUAAUUAUAAAGGAUAUUAUUAAAUUAAUUAUAUUAUAAAUAUUAUAUUAAGAAAUAAAUUAAAUAAAGACAAAUGUAUGUGAUAUUUAAUACAAGUGUAUUAAUAAAAUACAUACAUUUGUAAUACUUAUAUUUAAUUACUAAAUAGAUAUUUGUUUUAAUUAUUAUAUUAAAGUAAUUAAAUAAAAGAAAACAAAAGAAAUAAAAUAAAGGAAAUAAAGUAAAGUAAGUUAAAAUAAAAGAAUAAAAGAAACAAAAGAAGAAAGAAACAGAAUAGCCAAAGACGAAACAGAGAAGAAACAGGGGAGAAAGAAGAAAAAAGAAAGAAAAAGGAAAACUUGAAGGUUUAAGGUUUAAAGCUUUGAUUGGUAAGUCAAAUUAGCCCUUUUCUCUUAAUUCUAAUGUUUUAAAAGCUUUAAAAUAAAGUUUUGAUGGAAUUAAGUUGAUAUUUUGUAAGUUCAUAGGUUUUCAAGUAUAGUUUAUGUUGAACAAAAGAGAUGAAUUAGGGAUUAACUUGAAGGAAUUUUAAGUUAGAAUUGAAAAAGGGAUUAAAUUGUAAAAGAAACUAUAAGUUUUAUGUUUUAGGGACUAAAUUGAGGGAAAUUCGAAAUUAGCAAAAUAUGCUGAAAUUUUGAUAGUUAAAUUUUAGUUUGGAUGAAAUUUGAAUAGAAAUAGAGCGUGAAUUGAAUUAGGAAAGUAAGUGAAUUUAGUUAGGAUUAAAUUGAGAAUUAGGAAGAAAUUGAAUAGAAAUUCAAUUAUUUAUUAUAAUUAGUGCUGUAAUUAAUAUUACAAAUUAUUAUUUUCGUAGCUAACAAAGAACCCGAGGCAUCGGCGUCAAAAGGAAAGGAGAAAGUUAUUGAGGACUAAAACGGGAGAAUAACGGUUUGUAUUACUAUAAUUCAAGUUAUUUAUUAUUAAAUGCUAAAUUUUAAUUUAUGUGUCUAGUAAAUGAAAUGUGAGGUAAGUAUAAUAUUAGUAUUAAUUUAUUAUUAGUAUUAUUAUUAUUAUGAGUGGGAAUUAAAUUGAAUAGUUUGUAUGAAUUAAUAUUUGAAUUGUUUGUUGAUUGAAAGCGGGAAAUGAAUUUGAAUCGAAUUGUGAAUGGUAUUAAAUUGUAUGGAAAUGUAUUGAGUUGUGAAAAUGUGUGAAUUUGUGAAAUAAUUAUUGAUUGAAUGUGGAAAAAUGAUUGAAUUGAAAGUGUGAGAAAUUGUGAUUGAAUUGAGAAUAUACGUGAUUUAAAUACCCUAUUAACUAGUCGGGCUGAGUCGGAUAUAGUUGGCAUGCCAUAGGAUUGGAAGAGUUCAGGGAUACUUCGACCUCGAGUCGAUGAGACACUGGGUGUCACUAUAUUUCUUCGGAUAGAUUCGAUGAGGUACUGGGUACCAACUUUCUUCGGCUUUGCCGAUGAGACACUGGGUGUCAACUAUUGCUUCGAACUAUCCGAUGAGGCACUGGGUGCCAUUCUGGUGUGUUUGGUUGGAUCCGUGUAUCCGCCAAAGUCCGAGUUUUGUUAAUAGGGUAAAUGAUGAAAUGAUAAACCGAACGAGUUGGUCAAACGAGCUAUUGAAAUGAUAUGAAAAUGUUGAAUUGUGAAUUGAAAUGUGAAAUGAGAUUGAGAAAUGAACCUAAGGUUCGUGAUUUAUUCAAACUCAAAUUGUGGAUAUACGAUAUUGGUUGAUGAAUUGCUAUUGUUGAAAUAUUGAAUUUAAAUUGUAUAUACGAUUUAUGCAUUACAUGUACAUUAUUGUUAUAAUUUGAAUUAUGGUAAUACCACUGAGUAUGAAUUACUCAGCGUACGGUUGUUUCCGUGCGCAGGUCGAUAGAAGUCAAAGGUCCCGGUUCAGCAUCCAGAUUAAUCCCGGCUUCGGCAAAACUUGGUGAUGUAUUUUUCCUUUGGUAAAGGUGGCAUGUACAUAGAUUGUGUAUAAAGGUUAUUAUGUUUUAAUAUAUAAUGGUUAAAAAUGUUAGUAUUAAAAGUUUAUGGAUUUUAAUGAAAGAAGUCUAUCUAUUUUAUCUAAUUAGUACAUUGUUAAAUUUUAAAUUGAUAUUGUGUAGAUUGAGUUUGAUUAGAAGUAUUUAGAAUAGAAAAUGUGAAUGUGAAAUGAAUUGGUUGAAUUGGUGAUAUUUGGGAACUAUAUGGUUUUAAUUUGCAGGGGGUUUUAUGUAAAAAUAAGCAGAAAUGCUGCCGAAAUUUUUAUAAAAUAAAAUGAAGUCAUUUGGUAAACAAACUAAUAAAUUUUAUGAAUUAUUUUAAUAUAUUGGUUAUUUAUUUAAGAAUUGUUGUAAAUCGUUCGAUACGUCCGGUAAUGCCUCGUAAUUCUGUUCCGGCGACGGUUCGGGGUUAAGGGGUGUUACACAACCCCGGCAUAUCCCGGUAUGACCAUACAAACACGUCCUUGAACUCUCGGAGUAAUUCGAUAAGGUCUUGUCUUGUCUUUGCAGAGAUAUCUGAUUCGAUCUUCACCUCUUUACCUUCCUCCAAGCUCACAAUUUCUAUUAAUUCCCUCUGAGGUAGGAUUUGCUUCUCAGUCCUUUCUACCAUUUUCUACAAGUCAAGAGACAAACCAAAGUCUUCGUUGUCUUCAAAAUCAUGCGAUCCCUCUAAACACAUGUUUCGUUCAAAAGGAGACUCUAAAUUUGUAAGAGUGACAUUCGCAUCAUUGAUAUCGUGGGACCUGUUAUAGGUAUGAAAAAACAAUAUGGAUUUAGGAAUUUGUUUGGUGCAAUAUGGUCAUGAAUGAAAUGCAAGUGUAGUUUAAGAGAAACUUAAAAUAACUGCUCUUAUGGAAAGAAAUAUUUGCUCCAAAAAUGACUGCAAACAUGAACUUUAUUAAAAUGACGAUUUUCUGGACAUGAGCCUAUUUCACAAAUGAAUCCUUAUCACUUCUAGGCUAAAAAGCAAUAAAGGUGUUCUGGACAUUACUCUAACGAAAUCUUAAAAACUACAGGUAUUUCUUCUGCAAUCCAGUUGUUUAGCUCCCUUUCCGACUCGUAAGGACGAAUAUCUGGCAAAGUUCUUCCUCGCGUCGCUUCUUCAUACACGGCAUGAAUACUCCCUAACUCCGUGUUAAUACUUCUGACCCCUAACAUUCCUUGAUAGACAAAUCCUCCCGAUACAAAAGUCUUAGAUAGGUGAGGAAAGGUCAUGGGUUCCCAUUCAACUUCAUCCCCUGUCAAACGAGCCCUUCUCCUCACUCACUUCUUUUCCUGCUCUAUCCUCUUCUGCCUAGCAUCUGGCUUGUAUCCUAAGCCAAAGCGGUCUUUCUUGUCUUUCAACACUGGAGCCUCAACUCGGCCGUGGAGAUAUCUCCCCAAUCCUCUUCUCGGCAAAGCUCCCUUUCCAACAGUCAAUUGCAGACCCAUCUCUGUGGUCCUGGAUAUUCUCGGCAUCGGGAUAUUGUUUCCCUCACGGAUGAAUGUUGCAUUUACGAACUCUAAGGAACGGAAAGAGCAUUCGAUUGCAUCAUUACUCGUUUCUAGAUAAGGCGCAUCGUUGGUCACAGAUGCAAUGAUAUCUUCUUCAGCAUCUAUCGUCACAAUCCUGCCUUCUGACACCAGCUUCAGUUUUUGAUGUAACGAUGACGGUACCGCACCUGCUGAAUGAAUCCAUGGCCUUCCUAAUAGGCAACUGUAAGAAGGCUUAAUGUCCAUAACUAAGAAGUCCACCUCAUAAAUAGUUGGGCCAAUUAACAAGGGAAUGUCAACUUUUCCCAUGACCCUCUUCUCAGUACCACCGAAUGCUCGAACCACGUUCUGAAACGACUUCGUAUGUGAACUAUCCACAGGUAGCCUAUUGAGCGUGGAUAGGGGCAAUACAUUUAAUGCCGAUCCAGUGUCUACCAGAACCCCCGGUAAUAUGCACCCUUUACACCUUGCAGUGAUGUGUAAAGCUCUAGUAGAUCCCAUACCCCAGGUGGUAUUUCGUCAUCGCUGAAAGAGAUGAAGUUAUCAGCGCUUAUAUUGCCGACCAGUCGAUCCAACUUGUUAACAGAGAUAUCGUCGGCCACAUAAGUUUCAUUUAGCACCUUCAGUAGUGCAUUUCGAUGUCCCUUCGAGUUUAGGAGUAAAGCUAGCACAGAUAUGCGAGCUGGUUGUUUGUGUAGCUGCUCCACAACGCUGUACUCGCUAUGCUUUAUGAGCUUCAAGAACUCUCUAGCUUACUCCUCAUUGAUUGGUUCGUUGACCAACAAUUCAGGUUCGAUUGCCUUCUCCUUCUUUCCAAUCGAAGUUUCUUCUCUUAUUGGCUCUACUCGAGCCUUCACUUGUUCGUCAUGCCCUCCUUCAUCAUGGUCCUCUUUAUUAAUUGCAUCCUCUUUCUCCGGGAUUGUCACAUUACAAUUGUAAUUCCAAGGAACCCUCCUGUUAUCCUUGUAAGUAAACACGGUCAGUUUUUGAAUGAUAACCUUUGGUGCUACUCGCGCUCCAACCUCACUAUUCUUAGGUCGUGAGAUGAUGACCAUAGGAUGGUUAGCCUUCAGAACUCACAAUGCCAACUCUGACAUACAUACAUAAUUUUCCUUCUGAAUUCCUUCACAAAAUUCCAUCUCCUUAUUAUCCAUCAUACCCUGUACCACGGCUCUGAACUCCAUACACUCUUGGAUUUCAUGCCCUAUUUCACAGUGGAACUCAUAGUAGUUCCUCCUCUUCUCAGAGCUUUCUUCUGAAGCAAUUAGCCCUCUUUUCACCAUCUUUUUCCAGACCCAUCUCAAAGGAGUCUUCACGUCCGCAAUGUCUGCCUUAAUUUUUCUGUCCUCGCCCAUCAUAUUUAUUCCACUGUCAGUAUGGUUUGGUAAUGGAUUUUCUGUUUUGGUGGCUUCAUCAAAUUUAACGACACCCAUACCAAUGAGCCUUUCAACCAACUUCUUGAAGGCAGUACAGUUUUCUAUGGAAUGCCUCGUGAUUCCCGCAUGAUAGUCGCAUUGUGCAUUUGCGUCGUACCAUUUGGGGUACGGGGGCUGUAACGGCUUCAGAUAGAAAGGGGAAACUACAUGUGCGUCGAAUAAGUUUCGGUAUAAUUCCCUGCACGACAUAAGAAUUGGCGUAAAUUGGGGCCUCUCCGUAUUUCGCCUUGUACCGACCUCUUGUCUUGACGAGCUUUGCUGAUUGGCAGCCACCUUUCCUGGCUGAAUCACUGUUACUGACUUCGAGUAACCCUUAUUGUACAUGCUCGCGUUGUUCACCUCGUUUUCCUUUCUCUUCGAAGCUGAUCUUCUGUUACUCUCUCCAGCAUCGAUCUUCCCACUCCUAAUGGCGUUCUCAAUCAUCUCGCCAUUCAUGACUAUGUCAGGAAAGCUUUUUGUGGCACUUCCUAACAUAUGUGUUAUGAACGGUGCCUUCAGGGUGUUAAUGAACAACAUGGUCAUUUCCUUUUCCAUGAGCGGUGGCUGAACUUGGACUGCGACAUCCCUCCAUCUCUGCGCGUACUGCCUAAAGCUUUCGCUCAGCUUCUUCUCCAUGUUCUGAAGGGUGAUUCUAUCAGGAGCCAUGUCUGUCACAUGACUAUAUUGUUUCAUAAAUACUUGCGCCAAGUCCCUCCAUGAACCAAUCUUAGCACGACUCAACUGAUUGUACCACUUGGAUGCUGCCCCUGUAAGGCUGUCUUGGAAGCAAUGUAUUAAUAGUUGGUCAUUAUUAACGUAUCCAGCCAUUCACCUGCAGAACAUGGUGAUAUGAGCCUCUGGGCAAGUCGUCCCAUUGUACUUCUCGAAUUUAGGCAUCUUAAACUUAUGAGGGAGAACUAGAUCUGGCACUAAACUCAGCUCUUUUACGUCAAUGCCUCGAUAACCUUCAGUGACUUCCAUUGCCUUGAACUUCUCCUCGAGCCACUUGCAUCUUUCCUCUAACUGUGUCGGUAACUCCUCCUUCCCUCUUUCCUUCUCAACCACUUCAUCAAAGUCAGGAAUAACAGAGUUAAUAAAAUUAUUUUCGGGAUUAAAACCCGGCCCAGUUUGAAGGUUCGAAACACCAGCUCGAAAUUACUGAGGCAUGAUGGUGACAGUAGAUUUACGCGGGUAUUCAGUUUGAGCUCGCUCAUGUGGAGGGAUGAAACCUGGAUGAUAGAAAAGUUCAUCAUCAUUUCCCUCAUCGACAUCUGCCAUGGGGCCCUUUCCUUUGUCACCUCCCUUAGUUAUCAGUUGGGUUAACUUUGCCACUAUAUCCUCUUGAGAUUCCCGCAUCUUCUCAGACAUUUCUUGCUUCAUCUUGUCUAACCGCUCCUGCAUUUGCAACUGAAGCCGGUCUUGCAUUUCCUUCUGGUACUGUUCGAGCUUUUCUAAUAUCUGAUCCAUAUCUUUGGUCUUUGCUCGAGUGCCGUAUCGGUGUUGGAUUGGUUGGUUGGUUUCCAGGUUAACUGAGCAAUAAUUUUAAUUAAUUAGGAUCAAUUAAAGAUUUUGAAUGCAUAUGAUGCGAUGCAUGAGAUGAAUGCAAGAAAUGCGUUAAUUAUGAUUCAAUUCCACUUGGAAAACUUUAUUAGAAAACAAAUCCCUUUACAUAGAAUAGACUACAAAUACGACUUCGCCCUAAUACUUAAGACCUUAAUUUUUUGAAGCAACGAGGCUAACUCCCGUCCCCGGUCUGACUCUAAUUCAUACUUUACGCUCAACGUGUCAGCUUGUACUGCCAAAGUUUGUAAGUGAUCAGCUACUUCUCGAAUCUGAACCAAGGCUUGUCCCAUAACACGAUCCCUGCUUCUGACCUGAUUCUGGAGAUAGUGAAGCUGUUCAUUUUGAUGGUCUUUGUUUACCUCCAAAUACUCAAUCCUGGCUUCACUACUCUGCAAUGCUAUCUCUAAUUCUUCUAUAGUCUUCUUCAUUUGCUCAAUCUUGCCUAAACUUGCUUGCAGUUCUACCACUGAAUUACAAUUUCGGUAUUGAUGAACAAUCUUCUCAAGUUCGGUCACUCUAGCCCUUAGUUUAUCCCUUUCAUCUUGAUUUUCUAACAAACUCUUCUCAAGCGAUCUAUUUUGCAUCUGGGCUUCUUGGAAUCUUCCUUCCCAUCUACCAGCCUUGGUUUUUUUCUUCUUGAAUCUCUUGACGCCACUGCUCUGAGGUUUUUCCCAACCCAACAGUUCUUACUGAUAGACGUAAUCUCUUAUAAUCCGUCUUCAAGCUGUUCAGAUCUUCCUCGACUUUGCGCUUCCCUUUUCUCAGGCCUUCGGUUUCCUGCUUUUGAACAUCUAUGUCCAACUUUAAAUUUACCUUUUCUUCCUCCAUUUGCUCUAUUUUCUUCUCAAAUUCUGCAUUCCUUCUUUCGAGGUCUUGCUUUAUGAUUUCCAGCUCAGAAGGGACGACGCGCAAAUGCUCCUCUAUCGAUUGACUAUUUUCUGAACUUGGCCCAGGAAUGUUGUCAUUAAUCCUCCUAACACGCCAUUCGUUAUAUUCAAAAGUUGUCAUUGGACCCACGGCUAAUCUCUUCAUUCGACGAGUCUGAUUCCACGCAUUGGCCAUGUCACGAGCCUUCCUUUUGUAGCCAUCAUCCUUAUAUGAGAAUUCAUACUCAACUAGGCCUUGAGUGGCAGGCACAAACUGUCUUGACCUGUACUGUCUUAACACUAGCAAUGGGGUAUAACCAACAACUCCCCAAAUCCCGAGCAACGGAACCCAGUCGAAAUCCCCGCACUUAUAUAGGAUCUCAUUUGGAAGCAACCACGGAGCUCUCCACUCGAUCUCUUCUUCUUGCAAAUUCUGACAGAUUGUUAUCCAUUUCUCCUCUGUAAUAUCAUCUCUCCUUGACGCAGCCACUAUCUCUUUCAACGGUGAAUAACUUUCAGAGAAGACCUGAUAUGAAACCUUAUCAACCUUCCAAAAGUGGCUAUGGAACCACCCAAGUAAUAGCUGCGCACAUCCAAUAAAUCUACCUUCUCCCGUUCUUCGGCAUGCACUUAAUGACCUAAAGGUUUCUGCCAAAAUCACCGGAACUGGCGUAACUCCCUUAUCAAGUCGAUCAAAUAAAUCAGUGACCGCCUCGUCAACAUGUCCCAAAAUCUUAGGAAACAAUAUUAGACCAUAUAUACUUAGAGCAAAGACGUCUACUUUUUUCCUCGCAUCUGGGUGUGCUAAAAUGAGGUCCUUAAAGCUUUUCCAAGGAAUACACCUACUAUCCCCUUUUUGCUUAAUCCGAGCUGUAACCCACUGCUCACUCAUCCCUGUUAUAUUUAUCAACUUCUUCAAGAAGGUCGGUACAUUUACUGAUUUCGAAUAAAUUCUAUCUACCUGAACCUUCGAACACCGAAGUAAAGCUGUGUACUCUUCUAUCGUGGGCACCAAAUCAACCUUCCCGAAUGUGAAGCAACUGUAGGCCGGAUUCCAAAACUGGGCAAGAGCUCGAAACAGACGCUUGUCUACCUUUAUGUCAAGUAAAUAAGGCAAAUCCCCAUAAUUUAAAUAGAAUAACUGCCUAACCUCAUUAUCCCAUUGAUCCCAAAUCUCCUUCAAUUCCUGCAAGUUGUUCUGAGCUACGCUAACACAAGUGAAGUCCCAUAACUCUGAUACGUAUCCCACGGCCAAACUAUCACCUUUUUCGUGCUGUAUCUUCUCAGACCAAGUCCGGACAGCCGCAUUGUCUUCCACUCUAUCAAGAAACCCAUUUCCCAUGAUAAACUUUCUAUAUGGCAACCGAAUAUGAACAACGCCUUUAUAAUGAAAUGUCAUGCAAUUAUGAUGUCAUGCAAUCAAAACAAAAGAAACCCAAGUCAGUAUCACAUAUAAAAAUAUAAUCCAAUAUAAAAUAAUAAGAACACUUAUUUAGGAAUCUACUAGUGUUCGGUAUAAUUCUACCUAGGGCAAGCUCCUAAAGCUCACUAUAUGAGGUUUAGUUUCUAGAGUAAGGGUACCCGAACCAGUAGAUUCCUCGAUCCUCACCCAUUAUAGGCUCAUAUGGAUCGAGUUCAGUUCAGGGGACACAUUUCCCUAUGGCUGCACGGAGAUGAAAAUCUCACGAAGACAUAGGUACGGAUGUAUCCCGAAAACGGUCCACUAUCCUGCACGGAGGUGAAAACCUCACGAAGGACUAGUUUCUCGCUCCCACUUAAGGGUAAAAUGCAAAAUGCAAAUGCAAAGUUGCCAAAGUUCCAUGAUAAAACAUCAAUGAGUGCAAAGGGAAAAUUUUUAAAAACUUUUUAAUUUUCAACACAAAAACAAAUAUAAUCAGUUUAUGGCUCGACUCUCUAAAAUCCCCAGUGGAGUCGCCAAGCUGUCGAAACCCUUUUUUUGAAAACAAAAGUUUUAGUUGUUGACUUAAAAAACAAAAACUGGAGUCGCCACCGAUCCUUUAUUAAGGUGUGAUCGGCCCACCUUAAAAAUAAUUUCGGUCUGCGAAAUUUGAGAAAACAGGUCCGGGAGUCAAUUACGCACGAGGAAGGAUUAGCACCCUCGUAACGCCCAAAAUUGGUACCAAAUUGAUUUUUUUAAUGCCUUGGUGUCGAAAAUUUGAAAAGAUUUUAAAAGGAAACUUUUAUUUCAUGAAUGGAUUAAAAUAAAAAGACAUUCACAUUUAAAAGAAAUAAAACACCACACCCAGUGAGUUAGGGCAUAAUGUUUUUAAAUCUUCAAAAUACCCGAAUAUUGCCUUUUGCUUUUGAAAAUUCUUAUUUCGAGAAGAAAAUAUCAUGACCAGUAAGUUAGGACCCAACAUUUUGAAUUUCCGAGAAUAAGUUUUUAUUUAAAAUUUGAAUUUAUUGCAAAACAAAUAUUUGGCUUUCUAAACUCAUCGAAAAAUAAUCGCGAUCCAGUAAGUUAGGACACGAUCCUUCACGAGAAUCAUGAAUGCCAAACAUUAUGGAGAUUUGUAAAAAUAUGAUGAUUUUAAUGCUUCGAUAAAACCAAAAUAUAUUUCCCGAAAGGUAUGUUAAAAGUUAAUGAAUAAUAUAAAACCCAACUUUAAUUUCAAACAUAUAUGAAUAAAUAUUUACAAAUAUAUACAAGUUUAAUAUACAAGGAAUUCACAAAUACGUGCAUGCAUAUAUUUGACACACAUGUACAAGGAUACAUAUAAAAAGAUAGAAUAGAAUACAUCAAUCAAAAUAAAACUAAAAAAUGCGUGUAUAUGUAUUUGAAAAUCGUGGAAAAAGGAUAAAAUACAAAAAUAUGUAUAUAUGUAUAUAUUUACAAAAGUGAAAAGAAUUUGAAACUAAAAUAUAAAAUACACAUUUUAAAAAAAAAUGUUUAGUAUGUACAAAAUUUAUGUGUGGAUUUAUAAAAAAAAAUUUAAAUGUGUAGGUAUAUAUUAGAGAAUGCAUGUAUGAUUUAAAUUAUAAAAUAUAUGGAAUAAAUAUGUUACAACAAUGUAUAUCUAUAUAAAAUAUAAAUGCACGUAAAAGUAUAUGAAAGGUAUGCACAUAGAAUGAUAAUAAAAUAUAUAUGUAAGGUGCAUGUGUUUACAAAAAUCGUUAAAAAAAGUGUAUGCAUAUAUUAUUGUAGAGAAUAUGCGAAUGUGAAUAUAUAUAUAGUACGGGUAAUAGUAAUUCCUAUAAUAAUAAUAAUAAUAGUAAAUACAUAAUUAAUAACAUAUAAAAAAACAACAAAUUAAGCAUUAAAUUAAGAAUAAACAAAGUUUUGAAACCCAAUUUAAUGAUGGAAACUAAAGAAAAGGUCCAAAUUAAGAUGCGCACAACAGUAGGAGGACCCAGGUGGAAAUUAAUCCAUCCUCUCAAAACACUACGCAACUAGGGACUGAAUCGAAAUGCGGAUCAAAUAUGCGGCCUAAUUUAAAAAAAACAAAAAGGUUUAAUUUGGGGCGCAUUGCAAAAGGGAGGGAUCAUUUGCGCAAAUCUCCCUUCUGACGUCAGAACGCGCGGAUCCUCCCCUUCGGGUCGGGUCACCGCGCGGGUCAAGCCUGGCUAAAACGGCGCUGUUUUGAUCCGUUAUUUAAAACAGAUUUUUACCUUAAAAAUCAUUUGAAAUCAAAUAAAAGAAAAAAAAACUAAAAAAAACCCUGUGCUAGGGUUUUAAACCCAGGCCGCCCCAACACAAUUUCGCCUCAAGCCUUGGCCCUCCGCCGGACCUCCGAUUCGAGUGCGGCUGGGCUUCAUCGGCGAAGCUUCGAAGGUAAACCCCUCACCCUUCUUUUGUAUUAUUUCUUUUUUUUAAAUGAAAUAAAAAGAAUAAAAGCCUAUAUUAAAAAAAAUGGUUCACCUUAAAAACGUAGGUGUUUCUUUCAAUUUCCUUGUGUAUUUCUCUGUGUAUUUUCAUUAAUGCAAUCUCCGUCCCUUAUUUUACAGAUUUAAUGGCUUUUUAUAGGCUGGAAAGGAAAAAAAUAAAAUAAAUAAAUCAUAUAUUUUGCUUGUUUUUCUCCUCCGGACUCUUUGAGUCCGUAUUUGCAGGUGAAAGUGGAGCAAAUGGCGCGCGUGGGGUGGUCGACUCCGUGACGUGCGGCGCCUGGGAACUGCUGGCGGCGUCGGGGCAGACAUGCGGCUAGGGUUCCUUUUGUUUUUUGUUUUGCUUUGGGCCAGGGCUAUUUUGGGCCACUUAUUUGUUGGGUUAAUACUAUUUUCUUUUUUUGUUUUUAAACCCAGGCCGGUUGGGCCUUAUUACAUACAUUACGUAACUCACCACUGUUUUUAUCACAUAGCACUUACUGCCAAUGUAAUCCCAACUUGGACGUUCCUAACGUUAGGAACGCUUCCACUUUCAGUUUACCUAAAAGUUUCUAAAGCUUAGUCGACUGUUGAUUGAUUCAUCCAAUUUAAAACCAGAGUAGGUCCUUCCUUUAAAGUCCCCACCCCCCAACGGCCAAAACAACCCACAUUCUCAAUUCAAAACUCUAAUUAACCCUGCAGUUUUUUUUUUGGCCAUAUGAUAUAAUAACAUUGUUUCUAUUAAUAAAAACUCCAUUACAGAACAGGCAAUAUAGUGUACGAAGAGAUAAGAGAAAGCAAAAAAGUAGACAAUAACACCCAAAUACGAUGCUAAUUUAGCCUUAAAAAAUUCUAGCGGCGGUGUGGGCAAAAAGUGACCAAAUAGUUGCCGCGAGAGCAAGUAGCAAGACUGGUCGGAUCAUCGUAAGCAUAAGAAUAAGCUUUAGGACAAGCAGUCUUGAAAAUCUUCGAAUACGCCGUCGGUUUACACGACUGAGGACUGCCGAAGCUGCCGGUACAACAAUAUCUCGGUGAAUUAAAAGCGAAACAAGCGCUUUUACAAGCCACCACUUGUUUAUUAUUCCUCACUUGUAACGCGACGGGGCACAUUAAAUUCAAGUCACUAACACACCCGGCGUAGCUACAUUUACCGGCGCCUUUGAAAGGUGUAAUGGACAUAGCGAUGUUAUAGCCAUCCACCAAACUGACGUCGUAGAAAUCUUGUUGUUGGCCGAGGGUGAUUUCCGCUAACGUAGCGGGUGGGGUUCCGCCGAGCCCGUUGCAGAAUAAGGAACCGCCGCAGUCACCUGUCGCGCAACGGCCGUGACCCGAGGCGUCAAAGGAACAACCGUGUCGACCCCAGAACCGACCGGACCAUAACGGAGGUAGAUUCAUGGAGUAGGCUUUGUUUGGUGGGAGUUUGAAUCCACCGCGGGCUAAAAUUGGCUUGCCGGCGCUGGGUUGAAUCCCUGGCCAAACUGGAUGUGAGCAUUUGUUGUAGAGUGUUAUCGUCGUCGCUGUUUAAACAACAAAAUCAAUUAUUCUUAAAUGUUGUGCAAAAAUGUAUGUUUAUUUCAGUAUAUUGGAGAGUAAGAAAUUAAUUAGUACCUGAAAUAGGGAAGAAAAGAAAAGCGAAGAGAGUGAAAAUUAUGAUUGAUCUCCACAUUGUUGUUGCUUCUAUGGCUGUAAACUAUGGAAAGAGCUUGAAGUGAGUGAAAAUGAAAGCUAACAGAGAUGAGUGAUGAUGAACAUUUACUCAAGGAUAAACUAUGGUUAUGCUAUUCUUUUUAUAGAUAUAAAAAAGGAACUAAACUAGGGUUGUUUUGGCAACGAAAGUAGGGUUUGGUUACCAGUUCUUUGAUUUCUCUUUUGUUGUGAAAUGUGCAUCGACCUGCUACUCCUUACUACUGUCCGGGUCGGGUUUGAAUGGGAUUGUCAAAAUUUUAGAUCCAUUUAUUAAGUUUGGAUUUGGUCUAAAAAGUUUAAAAUUUGAGUUGAUCAAAUCUUUUUGAAUUAAUUUUUUAAAAUAUAAUAUAUUAAAAGUGCUAAAAAAUACAUAUUUUUUAUAAAUUAAAAAUAAAUUAAAAAAUAUUUAUACUUAAAUAAUAUUAAGGUGUAAUUUAACAAGUAAAUACCUUUAAAAUAGUAAUAAAAUUAACAAUAAAAUAAGAAUUAUAAAAUAUACAAAUAAUAAAAAUAAAAUAGUAGUAACAUAAUAAUGAAAUGAUAGCAAAAUAGUUAUAAAACAACAAGAAAACUACAAGAAAAUAACAAAAAAAACCUUACUCGAGGCCUUGACUAUUUUUUAAGCUGGCUUUAUUCUUUUGUCUAAGUUCAUUUUUGAGUCUAUAUUUUUGCGUGAACCCUAUUACUUUUUUGACAAGCCUUUGAGUCAAGCUACAUGGACAAGUCUAAUUACUAUAGUAAAGAGUUUUUUAAUUACUUAAUUAUAAAAAAAAAUUAUCAUACUAGUGUCUUUUUUCCCUUUAAUUCCAUUAAUUUGAUAACUUUUAUAAUAAGAAAAUAGUAUUGACAUAAUAAUAAAUUUAGUUGGUAUAUGUUAUGGUAAUUAAAUUUUGAUUCUAAAUUAGGGUUAGUGGCUCGCUCAACUCAAUUGGCUCGGAUUGACUUAAUUAGAUUUAAACAAAAAAAAUAUAUCUUUGCUUGAUUUAUUAUUUUUAUUUUUAUUUUUUGAAUUUUUUUAUCAAAAAAAUUCCCAGCACGUGAAACCUAUGAUGAAGGCAACGCAUAAUAAAAUUAUAUUUUAACAUUUUAAUUUGAUAAUUUAAUUUUAAUCUCUUUUUUAAAAAAUAUUAGAUUCACCUUUAGUGAUGUGUCUGAAAAGAGUACAUCGUUUGAUCAUCAAAUAUAAUUUAAAUAUAAGCCAGAUUUCAGAUGUACGGCAGAGAUUGUUUGUCUGAUCAAAAGUGGGGUGCAUGUGUAACGCUCGUGGAUGAUGCAGACCACACACGUUAACAAAAAUAGAUCUACUCCUCUUAAUUUUACUUAUUUUAAAAUACUGAAUUACAAAUAAAAUUUUUAUUAUUAAAAAUAAAAAUGUGAUAAAUUUAUUAAAAAGAAUAAAAUAAUUUAAAGUUUACUCUUCAUCGGACAAAGAUACUCCAUCUGAAUUGUUGUCUUGUAUUGAAAAGAACAUAGAUCUCAGGUUGCCUUUAAACUUAAGUUAAUGUUGUUAAUUAAGAUUAGAAGUAGUAAUUAAUAGUACAUGGACCUUAAGCUAACAGACAGAAACGGAAAAGGGUGUGGGAAAUCUGUCACAUAAUUGAAAUAUUUUAUAUUUAUUUUUAUCGGAUUUUGGACUUAAUUUAAUUUCUCUCUGAGAUUUUCGAGAACGCAUUAAUUAAUGAUCCCUGUUUUUUUUUAUGACCAUUGUUUAAUGAUUAUAAAAAUGACAUGGUUUCUGAAAUUACGGUUUUUGUUGAUUAAGACAAGACUUGUUGUCAACUUUCAGGAUGUUAACAAUCGUGAUUUUUUUUUUUGCUGAUCUUAAUCCAUUGAAUAUCAUUGAUAUGAUACUCUAAAAGAAAGUUUAUUUUAGUUAUUAAAAAUACAAGUAAUUUAAUAAUUGUAUAAUUUUUUUUAUCAAGUUUUGAUGGAAAAUGAUAUUUUUUUUAUGUUUAGGUGUUUAAACAAAAUUAGUUAAAAUGUUUUACUAAAUAUAUUGAUAUUAAGUAGACAAAAAAAUCAUAUUAAAAUCACUUAUUAUUUUACAAUAUUGGAAACAACAAAGAUGAUUGGUAGUUAUUGUAUUUGGACAAUAUUUAUACAAUCCAUACAUUUUACACAAUCAUAUUAAAAUAAUCGAAAAUCAAAAGAGUUUCAGAAGAGUCUUUUAGUUGAUUUGGACAUGAAUGGAUAAAUGAGUAGUGAAACCCUCUAACUGUAGUGAUUAGUGAAUGGAGGUUUGCAAUAACUUGUUAAGCUAACACCUCUAAAACAAAGAACGUAUUGAUGAUCAACUUUUUUUACAACUGAUUGGGAAUGAGAUAUGUAGAAUAACAUAUCUGAUCGUGCUUACAAAAUUACUCCAUUUGCCAAUAUUUAUGUACUCUUAAAUAUUUAUUUUCAAUUUACUUGUGUAAAAUGAUUUCUUAUACAACGUUAUAUUAAUUGAAAUAUGCUACUUGACAAAAUUAUUCAGAGUGUGCCAUAAUUAUCACCAGUUUACAUAUUGAAAAUAUAUAGCAUAAGUAUCACUAAGAAUAUAGUUUACAAUUGUAUUGAUGCACUAUUAGUAUUUAUUAAUUUCCACAAUGUUAAUAUUUACAAAUAAUGAACUUAAGAAAUUUAUUUAUUUAAAUUUUCAAAAAUAUUCACUAAUUAAUUUCCACAAUGGAUUUUUUAAUUUAUUGGUAAUAGUGCUUUAUUUUAAUAAUUUCACUCAAUAAAGAAUAAAGUAUUAUAAACAAAUAAAUACUUAACAAUAAAAUGUGUCAUGCUCUUAUUUAUCAUUUUACAUAUAUCAACAUUUAACUAUCAGUUAAAAUUUACUAAACACUUUGAAAUAAACAAUUAAUAGAAUCAGUUGGUCAAACCAGCCACUGCAAUCAGUUAUCAACUAUCAGUCAAUUACCAAACAAUGCCAAAAUAAAUUUCGAGAUAAUCUAUACAUUUUAUGUAAAGUGAGAGUCCAACUUAAAAAGAUUAUUGUAUUGAGACUAGACUUUAUUAUGGGCCGGGCUGGGUCAGGUGAUCUGCCCGAAAAGUGGAAGGGUUUGGGAAAAAAUAUAGGCUUGGGGUAGGCCUCAGGUAAGCUUUUUUGACCCAAGUUCGGCCCGCCUCGAACUAUAUAUGCAACAACAAAAAAUGUUGUUGUUUCCACUAUUUUGCAGUCAUUCAUUAUUAUAUCGUUGCUAUUUUGUUAUUGUUUGGAUGUUAUAUAACUCUUGUUUUAUUGUUAAUUUUGCUACUAUUUUAAAGGCAUUUGCUUGCUAAGUUGCACCUAUAUUAGAGUUAUUUAAGCAUAAAUAUUAAAAACUUUUUUAAUUUGUUGAGAAACAUUUAUUUUAAUGUAUUUGACGUAUUAUAUUUUUAAAUUUAUUUUUAUACAAAAAUAAUAAUAUGAAAAAUUUUAUACGGGUGGAUUUGGUUUAGAUUUUUAUAAUUUUACCUGGGCUGAAUUUGUACAAAAUUUUAAGUUCAUUUUUUGGGUUAGGCUGAGUUUGAAUCUAGAAAAUGAAUCUAAAAUUUCAACCCGACCUAUUAUCACCUCUAAUUGAUACGCCAAAAUUAGCUCAUAAAAUAAAUGGUCCAGUCCAACCCAACGAAAACAAUGGGUUCAAUUAUGAAUUAUGUAAUUAAAUUGGACUAAGAAGUAAAAAAACCAAGUGUGGUCCAGCACUUGAAAUAUUGUUGUUGGUCCAAAUUCCAAAGUGAGUAAAUAAGAAGGAUUGGGUUUGGAGUCGGGAUCAUCAAGCCCAAACAAGAAAAAGUAAUUAAAAAUAUUUUAUGAAAAUUAAAAAUAUUUAUAUACCGAAACAAAUAAAAUUAAAGCUAAAAUUAAAAUUUCUCUCUUGUUGGGUAAUUUGUUUAAUAAUAUAGAUAAAAAUGAAAGUGUACAUUAAUAGUUUUUUUUUCCAAAGAAAAUGACAUUUAUUCUAAUUUAAUACAAAGAAGUUUUGACUCCUUUUAUAAAUUUUUGGGUAAUUUUUUUCGAUAAUUUUACUGUUGAUUUGAUGCCAAGUUAUCUCAAAUGUUUCGAAUAAAAAAUUUAAUUCAAAUAUUUAACACUGUAAAUUUUUAUAAUUAAAAAAUUAAUGUGAUAAUUUUAAAAAUAACCCUUUCCAAUAUAAAAAAAAUUAAAUUACCGUGAUGAAUUAAAAAAAAAGUUACAAUUCAUUUUGUUACUUUUUCAUUCAUUAAUAUCUAAUAAGAUGAUUAUGACUAUUUAUUAAAUAUAGAAAUCAUCUUAUGGAAGGUGAUUAAGUAUGCAUUGGAUAUUAAUAAAUAAAAAAUAAUAGAGUGAAAUCAAACCCGAUUUAAAAGAGACAUUAAAAACAUCUACAUUAACAUAUUGGAUUAAUUAACAAUAAAGUUAGAGUAAUUCGAAGUCAAUUUGUUUAGAAAUGGUUAGGAGCAGACCAUUUGAUACAAAAUUCAACUUUUAGACAUGGGUAAUUCUGCGCCCGAUGUAAUCGAAGUAAAAGGUUUUUCAAAAUUAGUGUGAUGAUUGAAUCAGUUAAGUCAUCGAUUCAUUGGUUUAACUUAUUUGAUAGGUUCAGUUAAAUAAAUUAUUCAUAUUCAUAAAAAUAAGAAUAUUAAAAAAAUAUAUAUGGUUCAACUACUUGAUUUCAAUUGAUUUUUGCUCGUUUCAAUCGAUCUGUACCAAUUCUUAAAUUAAUAGAUCCAAUGCCUUUCUUGAGACCAAUACCCCUAUUGAUCUAAUAUGAUUCAAACAAGCAUGACACAAGCUAUAAGAACAACAAAAUAGUGGUUGCAUAAACCUACAAAGUCGAGAUAAAAUGAGUAACCAAUCACCAUGCAUAACCAUGACACGAAUAGUUCUCUCUUGCUUCCUAAACCUUGACAUGUGCUACCAUUUAUGUUGAGCUUAAAUUUGUCUUCACUACAUAUAAACCCCUUUUAUUGAUCUAAAAGUGUUUUUGAAUAAACGGUGGUCGUGGUGCGAUGAAAUCUUUUACUUUAUAACUAUAGUAACUAACCUCGUCGUCAACGCUGUUUUAAUUAAUACGCUUAAGUCAGGUUACUCUAGCAAGAGAUUUCAGCCCACAAAGCCGGUCUUACGCCAAACCAACAACACUCAUCAGCAAAAUACAUAAUAAAACAGACGUAAAUUUUGAGUGAAGUAAGUACCAAUCGAUUUACCAUCAUGCAAAGUGAUGUAUGUACACAAACUGAAAUGUCUAGAAAGUACCUUCAACCAAAAGCCAAGUUAUCAUCAUCAUAAUAUUAAAGAUUUAUUCAGAGCAUGCAUGCAUGGGCAGUAGUUGUUUGAACUGAUGCAGCCUUACUUUCUCUUUGUAUCUCUCAAACAUGUCCUUACAUUUUGCCCCAGCAUCAAUAGCUUGUAAUGCAUGCAACAUAGCACAUUUAAGCUUCAAACUUUGUUGUCAGAGGGUGAAACAGAUGGAUAGAGAAAAAAUAUAUUUCUUUUUGAAAUGAUGAGUACCUCAUGAUAAAGAGUGGGAGGAAUUGGGCGAUCACAUGAGGCUUUAACUAAAGCAUGGAGAAAUAGGGUUUCAGCUGGUCCACCUGCUACUGCCUGUUUUAACUUAUAAAUGUAAAAAAAAUUGGGGGUUAGUAGCAGCAACCUCAAGUGUUGUCAAUUUUCUGAACCUGCAAAUCAUAUUCAUAUUUCACUUCUCUUUCUAUUUUAACAUUAGACAAGUGAAGUCAUUUAAUUGGGUUAGAUUACUAUUUGAGGCUUGAACUUGGUAAUUUUUUAAUAUUAGGGUUUGAAUUUUUUUUUUAAGUUAAGUUCUGAACUUGGUAAUUUUUCUAUGUUGGAGCCAGAACGUUUUUUUUUUAUUUAAGUUAGGCCCUGAACUUGGUAGUUAUUCUAACAUUGUGGUUUGAACUUUAGGGUUUUUAAGGAUCAACUUGGACAAAAAAAAAAUUCAAGUCCCAAUGUGGGAUCAUUUACCAAGUUAAGGGCUUAACUUGGAUAAAGAAAAAGUUCAAACCACAAUGUUAGAACAACUACCAAGUUCAAGGCCUAAUUUAAAAAAAAAAACGUUCAGGCUCCAACAUAAAAAAAUUACCAAGUUCAAACCCCAAAAUAUGAGUUAACCCCUUUAAUUACCUGCUACAAAAAUUCCCCCUUUUCUUUUACCUUCAACUUACUCCUUGUUUUUUUGUCUAUAUUAAUUGAACUUGACAAUUCUUCCUAUUUUAAUUCUUAAAUUUUUAUUUCGUUAAGGUGUGAUGACGUGACACUUUGAAAUCAUGUCACAUUAUCACAUAAAAUCUAAAAAUACUAAAGAAAUUAUAAAUAUAUAUUUUAAAAAUUCACGUGAUGAUAAGGUCCAAUCUUAGAAUGUCAUAUUAUUGUAUCUUAACAUAUUCUAACUAACUAGAUAAAAAAAAAACUUAAAGACCAAGGUGGGAAGAGUUAUCAAGUUCAAGGACUAAGUAUUACUUUAUCCCUAAAAAAAUCCAAUUAUAAUUUUAGUCCUGCUAUCAUAUAAGAAAUUUGGAUUUAAUCUUAUCUCUACUAUAAUUUUACUUGAUUUGGUAAUUCUUAAUGUUAUUAGGACUUUGAAAUCGAUAGUAUUUUUUUUAAAAUUUUUUUUCUAUUAAUGUUAUCCAAUUGUAUCGUCAGAGUUACGUGAAGAUCUAAUCAAUAAUGUUCAACCAAUAAUAAAUUUACAUGUCAAUUGGUCGUUUAAUAAUUUUUUUAAAAUUUCACGUCUAAAAUUUAAUGGAAAUAAUUAACAGUGUUAUCAAAUUGGAUAUAUUAAAUAAUGUUAAUAAAGUAGAGGAUGAAAUUAUUUAAUUCAUGGUUAGGAGCUAAAAUACUUUAGCUUGAGUCCCCACAUAUGGUUAAGUUGAAGUGAUGAGAUUCAUUAUGGACUUACCCAAAUCUCGUUUGGGCUAGUGUUUGCUAAGUGCUAUAUGUACAUAGACCUUGCAGGCUCAGUUAGUGUUUUGCACAUAAAAUUCAUUCCUCUGCACUUUAAUAUGCUGCAUUAGAAAAAUAAAAUGCUUCUUUUGAAAAAGUGGUCAAAUUUUGGUAUUGGUCCUCAUACUAUGUUCAAAUUAGAAACUUUAUAGUAAUACAAGAUAAUUUGGUCCCUCUACUUUUAUAUCCAUACUAUGAUCAAAUUAGAGAUUUUAUGUCUUUAUAGUUUAUCAAACUAGUUCACAUCGGUAACUAUUCAAGUUAAAAUGCUUAUACAGGUUUUUCUAAAAAAUAUUUUUUUAACGAAAAAUGUUAUGUCAACAUGAUAAGUUGGAAAGACGUGUAUAAUAGGAAUUAUUAAUGGUGUUGCCUAUUUCAAUUAACUAAGUACAUUGUAAAAAUAAAAGGAUCAAAUCAUGUGAAUUUAAUAUAGAGGCACUAAAUCCCAUAUUUGAACAUACUAGAGGGACUUAAAAACCAUAAGUUGACCUAAAAAAGGUUAAUUACCUUCAUUCAACAAAUAUUUGGUAUCCUUGUAUGUAAUUUGAGCAAGAAAAGAAAUAAAAUCUUUCAUUAAUUAAAACAAUAAUAUAAAAAUAAAUUGCAUUGCAUUGCUUCUAUUUAAUUAUCAUUCUCAUAGUCAAAGGUGAUGUUAAGAAAUCGGUAUUGGAGGAGGAAAUAAAAUUUUAAAAGUUUGGGAAUAAAGAUAAAAUGUGUAUUCAAAAAGAACUUAAGUUACAUACUUGGCAAUUGUGAUGGACUAAAACUGAUAUUGGUCCACUUAACCAAAGGUGGGACCAAGUCACCUAGCAACUGGAUAGCUACCUAUUGCUCAUACCAAUGCACGGAGUGGUAAGGAGUUUGACACUCUUUUUUAAGUAAAAUACUGAGUUGAAGACCUGUGUAGAAAAUAAUUUUGAGAUAACUUUGGCUCCUAAUUUACUAGUUCAACCCUACUUAACUCUAAAUUUAUUGAAUUAAUAAUCUUUUGGCUAAAGUCUCUGAGAAGGUCCUUAUAUUGAUAGUUAACAUUAAUUGUCUAAAAAAUGUCUUGAAAUUUACUUUUUUUCAAUUGCAAUUCAAUUCUGAACAAAAUAUUUCAUUUACAAAACUAUAAAAAUUUUAAAAGUAUUAACCCUAUUAAACAGUAAAUGUCAUUUUUUAUACAACAAAUGUUAACUCUAUCUCAAUUUGGCCUUAUUUUAUUGUUUUUAAUAGUAUAUAGACUAAAUUGAUCCAUUUAAAAGUAAAAGGACUAAUUUGAUCAGGUCCCUAUAAUAAAAGGACCUCAAGGAUACAUUCACCUUUUAUCUCAGUGGAAAAGUUUUAUGGUAGGUAAAACAUGUAAGAAAAGGAACAAAAAUUCUCUAGAACCCAAAUUCCAAGUCAGUUCAACAUCAAAGUUUUUGAAAUCAAAUUCCCCAUUUUUUCAUGUACCUUAUGCUUCAACGUCAUCACAGUCUAAAACCUAUCUCUUUCAGAACCAUUUCAUUGGGGGAACCAAAACAACCCUUUAUUCUGUCAACAUUAAUCACUUUGUUUCUAAUGUUGUCUUAACCUUAAAUGUUUUGUUUUUUCAUUUUUACAUAAAAGAAAGUCGAUUGUGUUAACAUUAAUGGGAGACAACAUUAAUGGCAAACAAUACAAAGUGGUGCAAGUUUAGCACCCUAAAGUUGACUUUGAAAAAGUGGCAUGGGAUAAUUUUUUUUGGUCCUUGAGAUAAUGGGCUAUUUAUUGUUUGGUCCUUAAACCUCAACUAUAAAUAGGCCUUCUCAUUUCUCAUUUCAAUUCAUCCCAACCAAUCUUUCUCUCUUAGUUUUCUCUCUUCUCCCAUUUGAGAAUUCUUAAGGAAUUCUAUUUGUUUGUAAUACUUUGGAGAUAGUAAAGUUAUCAUCUGGUGUUAGUGCCCGAUGACGUAGGUAUAAUUUACCGAACCUCGUUAAAACUCUUGUGUUCUUUCUUGUCCUAUUUUUCUUUCAAUAUUUGAGGGUAUAAUAGUAGUAUUUAAUUGUGCUAUUAAAUUACUAUAGAAGGGAUAUUCUGUCUAAGGAAAGACUUGGUAUUUAAGAGAUCCAUGUGAUCCACCUCUCUUCCCUGGGAAUUGAACUUUGUGUGAUUUUUUAGUACAAUAAUUUACACGCUUCCGACCCUAUUGGAACAACAGAUUGAUCCAAUAACAUGGUCCAAUUGCAUUUUAAGGCAAUUCCCUUCUUUCAUAUCCCCACAAAUUUUCCCCUCAUUGCAUCCCCAUUCCAUCUGAUGUAACAUCACACAACAAUAACAGUUCCCAUUUUCCAAAAAAAAAAAAUUAAAGUAUUUUACAAUUCCUUUCUAAAUUUAAAAUUUAUUCAUUUCACUUUAAAUUUAAAAAUUUUAUUAAAUUCAGACUCAUUAUGAGUUAAUUUUUUAGUUUAUAUUAAUAACAAGUAAAUUAUUUUUUUAAUUUUAAAGUGUCAUGCUUAUUUUAAACGAGGUUAAUAAUUAGACUUGAUUAAAUUUUUGAAAAUAAAAUACAUUAAAUAAGUUUCAAAUUUGGGAAUAGUACUGAUGGCACAUUUUAACAAAAAAAAAAAAACCUACAUAAUCUAAACAUGACCCAACAUUUCUAACAUUUACCUACAUGGCAAAAUAAGUAAAUUUUUUAAAAAAAUAUCCCUCCAUUGUUUUCCAUUUUAGCUCUUCAAAGGAAGGAACUCAAAGAACUGAUAAUUAGGAUCACCAAGGUUAGCAUUCCCCGGGGCGGUGGCGAUCGAUAUCUCGUUUUCUUUCUCGUUGGAAUCAUCGGAACCGUCAUCGUUACCGCUACGAAGAGGGAAGAGUUGUAGGGUUUGUGAGUCACAUUCUCCAAGUGUAGCCUCUUGGUUUCUAACAAAGUUGAAAUCAAAGACAUUGGCAUUGUUGUUGUUAUAUCUGCAUGGUGAUUUAAAGAUAUUAUUAAGACCAUGAUGAGUCUUAAAGAGCUGUUGGUGUUGGUAUUGGUGCUUUGGGUCCAUUGGUCUUAUUGGUGGCGGUGGGGCGACGGUGGUGACAGUGCUAAUCGCUGCCGUCGUAGAGGUAGGAUUAGGGCUAAGAACAGGUGAUAGGCAUGAGUAAGAGAAUUGCAUUUUGUGCUGCCACGUGUCAUUCCUUUCGACAAAGUUCUUUCUUUCCUGUAAUUCUCUUUCCUCGAAUUGGAUCCACCCAUCUGCUCUACAUUCUGACACUGCUGCUUUUGCUGCCAUUUGUAUUGAAACAGAUUCCUAAUAAUAAUAAAACAAAUUACAUAUGAAUAUAUUAAAUACAUUUUAACAAAGAAAGUACAUAAACUAUUUUCCUUAUAUAAAUAAUAAGGUAAAAUUACACCUGGAAUUACUAAACUAUUCAUAAAUUUAUACUUUUUUUCAUUCAACUUUUAAAAUUUAUAAAAUAUUCACUAAAUUAUUGAAAAGUUGUGAAUUUCUGUAGUGAGGUAAAAGUGUAGUUUACCUAAAUAAUACAAAUUGUAUGUAAAGCGACGUGUACACAGCUUCUGGUUUAUAUUAGAGAAAGCCAAGUUUACAUUCCAUUCAAAUCAAAAGGACAAAUGGUCCAAGAGUGAUAGGCUGGAUUUUGAUGACAAAUUGUACUAUCGAGUGAGCCCAGUCUUUUCACUGUCAGGCAUCCCAUUUUACGUAGAAAUAUAUAUAAAUUAUAUAAAAAAUAUUUGAAUUAAAAAAAGGGGUUGGGGGGGUGCUCAAAUCAAUACCUAGCCUGAAAGCCAUGAAUGCAAAUGAAGCACAUCACCCAAAAAAAACCAGCUAGUUUCAUAACAGCAGCCCCGACAGAAAGGAAGGAAUGCAGCUUUUAAGCUCUUUUCAUUUCCCAACAAUACUACCCCUUUUCUUCUUUCUUUAGACAUUACAUGAACUAUUUUUUAUAUAUUAUAUAUUAUGUAUGUGUGUAUGUGUUGUAUAUAUAUAAUAUGAACAAAUAAAGCCUUGACUUUAAAGUUUAAAACUUUUCACUUGUGUUAACCUAAUGAUGGUUUUGUUUAUUCAGUUUUGCAUGGUAAUUUGAUAGAUUGUAUUAUUUUUAGUUAUAAUUAUAUUUUUGAUAUUAGGAGUCGAAUUGUAUUUUAUCUUAUAUUAUAAAUAAAUAAAUUAGUCAUAAGUGAUAGAAGAUAGAGUAAACUAAUUUUUUUAUUAAAAAUUUCAACCAUUUGGAAUAAUCAUAUAGUGACACAUGGCAUACCAUUAUACCCCAUGUUAAAAUACAAUGACCAACUUAGAAAUGAAUGAAAAUUUUAACAAAAGAAUCAGUUUACUUUUUUAUCUAAAAUAAAUGAAUGAAUUAAUUUAUUUUUUAAUAAAGAGAACUUCUUUUAGUAAAGGACUUCUAUGGUAAUUUUACCAAUUUUUUAACAAAAUCUUUUACAUGGGAUAAUAAUGAACUGUCUAUAUUGACCAUGAAAGACAGAGAGUGAAAAAAGAAAGAAAGAAAAAGAAUGGAGAGGAUAUUAGAUAAUAGACCUCUGCUAGUGUACUGCAGUUUAUAGGGAGUGCCCAGUUUUUGGUCUGUUCAACUUCAUAACCUGUCCUAUUCGUCUCUGUAAUAAAAAAACAAAACAAAACAAAAAAAAGAAUGUAACUUUACUCUCUCUAACAAACAAAUACAAUGGUGAAAACCAGAAAACAAAUAUAUAUUAUUCUAAUUAGCAAAUAGAAUAGUAAAGCAAUUGUAAAAAAGAUGAACAGUAUUUUAUGUUUUUUUGUUGUCUUUUUUUUUGUUCAUGUACCUGAAUCUUUUCUUUCAAAGUUGUCGGGAUGAUCAUCGUGAGUUGAUUCCAUUUGCCGGCGGCGUUUUUGACGUUCCCUUGCUUUAUGGUUUUGAAACCAAUAAAAAACAUUCUUCCCUUCUAUCUUACCGUACCUACGAAGCUGUGCUGUUAUGUGUUGGAUUUGGUCGGCCGAUGGUGUCCGAGUACCUCGUCUAUAAAGCUCUUCCAGUGUACGUAACUGCUCGGGCGUUGGGUUCCAUCUCGAGCUCACUACAACAGCUGGUUGUGUAUUGAACUCCCUCUUGUUUUGGUCUCCCAUACCUAUAAUAUAAGACCAUCGUGUUUAUGUAUAGUCAUGAAAAUGAAGGAGACUUAAAAGGAGAUGAAGACGUACUUAGUGCAAAGAAAUCGGAGCCAUUGAUACGGCUUAAACAAGGAGAGUUGUUGUUUGGCCUAGGGAUUAAAGGCCUAAGUUUCCUACCAUUAAAGGAAUCAGGCAUGUUGAACUCAGCACCACCAUCAUUAUAACCCAUCAUCCACAUCUUUUGAUUUACCUAACAAAUAUCCAAAUUCUAUAUACUUUUUAGGGUUUGUUUGGAAAGAAAAAAAAGGGUUUAAUGAGCUUUUACACUCUUACACACUCACUCACUUUUAAAUGAAGCAUGCGAAGGGAAUAGUGGUGGUAGAGACUUGGUUUUAAACGAGUAAAACUUAUAUAUAUAUAUAUAACAAGAAUUGAGGGUUUUAAAGAGAGAGAAAAGGAUAGAUGAGGAGAAUACAAAGGGAGGGUGUUAGUGUUGGUUUAAGAAGGAACAAAGAGGAAGAAACAUGAGGUUGACUAAUGAAUAAAUGCUGUGGUGGGAUUGAAGAAAAAAAAAAGGCCAAAAAAGCAAAAGAGAAGGAAGGAGGGAAGGGGAAGGGGAAGGGGAGGGGGCAAAGGGGAAGCGUGGAAUUCUGGGUGUUUUUUGGGAGUAGGGAAUGAAAAAGGACGUGACAAGGGAUGAAAGGGUUUAUCAUAAGGCUCUCAUAAGAAAAAAAAGAAAAAGGCUUUUCAUUUAUUGUUUUCGUCUCAUGUUUCGUGCUUUUCAUACAUAUUCUCAAUCCGAACUGCCCCUCUCUUCCUUCUGCUUCUUUACCCUUUUCUUUGUCUAUUUUUAACCUCUUCUCUCUCUCUCAUGCAUUCACAUGCAAAUCCAUGCAUGUACAUCACUAUGAGUACACCCUACAUACAUACAUGCAUGCAUGCGUAUUGUUUUCAAAUCAUGUGUAUCCCAAACUCCCAAGUAUAAAUCAUCAUCUGUGUCUUUUCUUUAAAUCAUGUGAGUUAUUUUCAAAUUGUUCUAGUGUGGACUUGAUUAUAGUAAGAUUAGUACUCUGAUUGUACUCUUAUCAUAAUUAUUCAUUGUUUGUGACUCUACCUGUAAGCUAGUGUUAUAAGUUUAGAUUUCUUGUACUCUUUAAAUUCAUUCAUAUAGAUGUGUAUGAAUAACUAUAUGUAACGCUUGGUGCGGUGCAGUCUGACUAGCACGUAUUGUUUCAAUAAUAAAACGAUGCAAUCAACUCCCUUUUUUUACACCGGUUGUAUUGACCUAUUCCACUCAAUUUCAAUCACAUCAGCUAGUGUAUGGAUAAUAUUAAAAAAUAUAAAAUUCUCAUAUUGUUAUGGUAAUAAAUGAUAAAACUUUUAUUGGAAUAUUGUGCAUGAAUUUUUUAUAUUUAAAAUUUAUUUAAUAUCAUUAAUUUGAUAUUGGUAAGUAUUUUUUUUAAAAAAUAGAUAAAUCUAGAACAAUGCACCAAAAUAUACCGAUAUCAAUACACACCGGUUUCAGUAGAUAAAUGAUGCGUCCACAGGUGCGGUACUGACUACCUUGACUUGAUGUACCAAACUCCUACCUUCUGUAAAUAAUGUGUGGGUUGUUUGUAAAUUUUUUCUGGUUUGACUUUUACUAGUUUGAAUUGUGCUGCUUGAUUAUUGUCAUCGAUCAGAUGCUUCGAUUCAUUCAUACAUGUGUAUAAAUACUUAUAUGUAUGUAAUGCUUGAUGUUUUAAGUUAAACUCCCAUGUUUGAUAAAUUAUAUGUAGGUUUUCAUCAGGCUUAUUUUGACUUGAAUCCCACCAUGCGUGGGUUUGACUUGAAUCAGAUAAGUAUUAUUUACAAGGGCGUUAACCAUUAAUUGUUCCUAGUUUAUUAAAUCUUAAUUUGUUAUUAAAUCAUGUAAUAAUAUAUACAAAAUUAAAAGAAUAAAUUUACAUGACGUGCCAUCGAUAGUCUAUAAAAUUAUUUAUUAUUAAAAAAAUAAUAAUUAAGCUGUGUACUGACAUGCAGACAAGCAAACAACACAUAAACACAAAAUUGAAGUUGAAAUGUUUACAUAAAUACAAAAUAAAUAUAUAUCUUUUUGUUUGUUAUGUAAAAACUAUCCAAGGAUUAUGAUGUAUCAUCAUGGUUAAAUAUGGAUAUGUGGCGUUCCCUUUGCAUGGCCGAAAUGUUAAUAAUGUACUUAUAAUAUAUAUCAGAAAAUUUUUUACAGUGCCAAAAUUUUGGAAUCUUCCUUCUUCUUUUUUUUUUCAACUUUUUUGCCAAAUUCCAUCAUUCAAAAAAGUUGAAAGAAAAAAAAAAGAAAUAUUUAUUCUCUAUUUUUGGAUUGAAGAAAUAAUGGUAUAGCCCAUUGGUCAUUAUGAAGAAAUGAUUUGAAUUCACCAGUUAUUGGGGGGGAUACCCUACUGGACCUCCUUUUAUAUAUAAAUCCAGGGAUAUAUUUCAUUAUUGAUUAAUUAUUACUAGUUUCUCUAUGAUAGUGACUUAGCAAAUUCCUUUUUUUGUAAUUAGGCUAUAAGCCUUUUGCAUAUGAUUGAAGAAUGAAGACCAUCAAUUUUGGUGUACCAUUUAAGGUAUAUGAUUUCCCAUCAUGAUUAAAUUGAUUAAGAAAAAAAUAUAGGUAAAAAUAUUACAGAGCCACAUGAAGUUAAAAUACAUUUUACUCUCUCUAUUAAAAAAAGUAAACAAAUUAGUCACUGUUGAUGUACAAUGUCUAGUUUUUAACAGUAGAAGUUGAUGAUUUUUUUAAUAGAAUGACCAAUUUACUCUUUGAUCUAACAUACGAGACUAAUUGACCCAUUUUUUGAGUACCAUGGUACUUCUACAAAAAAAAAAAUGAAAACCCAAACUUUAAAUAUAUAUAUAUUAAUAUUUGUAUAUAUACACAAAAUAUUUAAAAAAUGCAUUAUCAUUGUUAGAGAUAUUUAUAAGUCGAGUUAUACCUAUGUAUAAUAUUACUAUCAGUACUAUAUAUAAUUGUCUAAACCUAACCCAAUUUAAAAUAUAUGCUCAAAUUUUUACCAAGUUGGCCAAUAAUUGGAUAUAUCAAUACACUAUCCGCAAAAAAUGUACUUACUAAUUCAUAAGAAUUAUAGAUUGAAUUUUUUGCUCUUUAAUAAUUUAAGAUUCAACAAAAAUAAUUAUUUGAUAUAUCGGUUAUAGAGUUAUAAACUAAAUUAAAAUUUUUAAUAAAAUCAAUAAAUAAGUGAUACUUAUAACAAAUUUUCAACUCGAAUUAUAUAUAUAUAAAAAAAAACUCAUGAUAAUCCUAUCAACAAUUACAUUUUUAACAAUAUUUAAAAAAAGUAUUUUUAAUUAAUUUGGAAAGGGAUCAUAAUUCUCUACCAAUCACCUUCCCAAAGAAAAAGUUAAGAAAAUAAGCAUAAUUUAAGGCCUCUAGCCUUUAAGCCAUGAAGCGUCAUUGUCAAUUUCUACUUUAUUGACUCUUUCUCCGUAUGAAAACACAGUUUCGACACAAAAUUUGCCGACAAAUUGAUAACAUUUGAAUAAAUGCAUUAUUAUUUAUUGAAUUAUAGUCCAGGUGAUAAAAAUUAUGUAAAAAUUGUAUUUUAUUUUGUUCCUAUCACGUUUUGAUUUUUAAUUAUCAAUUUUUUUUAAUUUUGAAAUUUAAUUUUUAAAGCUUAUUAUAAAAUUUAAUUAAUUUAGAUAUUUAAAAUAAUUUAUGUUAAAGUUUAAGAAUUUUGGUUUAAAAAAUUGUCAUUUGAGAUAUUUUUAUCGGAAAAAAAUGAGUCUUUAUUGAAAAUCGGUUCAUAACGUGGUACUUGAAAUUAUACCACAUCAUCACUUAAAUUUGAAAAGAAAAACUAAAAUUUAAAAUUAAUAUGCAAAAAAGGAAGAAAGAAAUUAAAUUGAAAAAUAUAAAAUUUAGAGAUUAAAUUUUAUUUUAUUCCUAACAUAAUUAUUAAAUGCUGACGAGACAAUUGAAAAAUGGUACAACCAUUGUGUGGAAGAAAAUAAAGAACGUUAGAAUGAUAACAUAUGAGAAUAAAAUAAAAAUGCUUAUUGGGGCUAAAUAUCUGGGUGAUUAGCCAUCCAACUCAGCAGUUUAGCAAUUUAAAUUCAAGUUUUGACACUAAUUUCUUAAUUUUGGACUAAAUUAUGAUAGAUUAAAGUAAAUGGAUUAAUUUUUAAUUAAAAAAUAAAAAAGUUAAAAUUCAAAAUUAAACCAUAUUAAAAAAAUAAUUGGUUUUUAUUUUUAAUUUAAAAACAAUUAUAUUUAUAUAUUCAACUAAUUUUUACUAAUUAAUUUGACGUUCUAUUAACUCGUCACAUCAAAACUAGAUUUAAAUUAAUAUGAUUAAAAAAAGAAUUAUGUUAUCUACUUCCGUUUUCAUCUCAAUGCUAUGUCUUCGUCGACAUUCUCCAUUCUAAUAUUGUUUGGGCCUAAAGUUCACCAAAAUAAACCUCUUAGUCAAGUUUAAACUCGAAUUGCAUCAAAUCUAUCGAGGAAGGUUGACUCCAUUCAAAAAAGUCUAUGAAGUGCUAGUUUUAAGGAGUCAACAGAUCUUUUAAUAAGUUGAUAUUAUCCCCGAGCAAGGUUUUGACUCUUUACUCCAUGGAAAGCUUGAAUGUUACACUACACUGUGCGUAAAAUUAUAAAAAUAAUCAAUGUUCUCCAAUAUGAUCAUUUUAAAUCUUUAUAUUUUUUAAUUUUUUAUUUGACAUAAACAAUAUCUGUUAAAUUCAUUAAUUAGCUUUUCUUUUGUAAGUAAUAUGUUAAAAUAAUAAGCGUAUGUAAUAAUAAUAUAUUUGAUGCAUAUAAAAUUUUGAAAAUAGUAAAAUUUAAUUUAAUGAAUUUAACGACUAUUAUUUAAUCAUGAUUGAAAUUUUAAUAUUUAAAAAUAUAAAAAAUUAAAAACAAUCAAGUUAAAAUAUAAUAACUAUAUCUACGAUUUACAUAAGGAACUAAUUGCACAAUAUAAGAAAAAAAGUCCGAAAACUCCAAUGGAUAAGAGAGCAUCUGGAAUGAUGACGUCAAAUUCAUUCAAUGAAUCUAAAGUAGGAGAGAGAAAUUUUCAGUUUUGAUCGAAAAAAAAAAAAAAAACCUGUUCAUUUGAUAUUUUUUAUUUUGGUUUAGUUGAGUGGGGCAGGUUGAUCCGUUUUGACCUCAGUUUAAUUGAUUAAUUUAAUUGAUUAUUGAUUUUUGAAUUUUAGAACUGAAUCGACAGAAGAAAUUGACCUUUUUAUAUUAAUUUAAAAUUAUUUAAAAUACAUUUAUAUUUUAUAAUAUAUAACAUAUACAUAACUAUAUAAACCCAACCUAAUAACGCAGAUUAAUGGAAAAAACUGACUGAAUCAAAGUCUGUUUGAUUUGAUCGAUUUUUCAUGCUAAAAUCAAUUAGGUUGGUUUGGAAAAAAAUUUGAACGAAUGAACAGAUUAUAAUCUAAAGUCUAAAGUAAGUGCCAGAAAAUUAUCUAAGCAACUGACGAAAAAGGGAUAAUUUAUUCAAGGCAAAAGGAUGUUUAAGUUCAUAACAUCAGAAGCAACAAGCAUCAAGUAGAAACAACUAAUGCUAACUACACUCUUAUUACCAUGAAUCAUUUAUUAGAGAAAUGAGAAAGUAACAUUAGAGAAGAAGCAGGAAUUAGUUUUUGUUGGCAAUGAAAAGGCCCCAUCUCUGCUCCCCAGAUCUGGUCCUAAUCAGCUUUGCCUUCCAUCCCCCAACGAUAUCGUCAUAGUCUUCCUGAAUAUUGGAACAAAAUAAAGGAUUGAAGUACCCAUUAGUGAAGGGAAAAAAAAGAGAGAAACAUAUAGGGUUAUCAAAAUGAUGACAAAAUGCUCACCUGAGAAAAGUCGGUGAUGAAGGUAUCCUUGUCCUUCUCAACUUUGUCUAAUUCACGCUGCAGAACUUGUAUGAACUGAAAGCAUAAGCAAACCGUUCGUUUAUUAGCUAGGGUGGAAAGCUCAACCGGAGACUCUUUUAUCGGAAAUUGCUAUUUUCUCGAUGAUUUUCAAAUUGGUACACAAUCUCUAUUGAGGAGAAGCCAACUCUGUCGGGCGACGUCUGCAAAUUAUCAUAAGCUAGGAGCUAGUGGACCCCUUGACGAGUAGGUAUUAUCCUCGGAAGUGGUCUCUCUCUCGACUCCAUCGAAGAAGCCACAGAUUCACAGAAUAAAAAUGCCUCGGCAGAUGCUUGAAAAAGUGAAAUAUACGCAAUGCGCAUGGUCAUUCAGCAAGAAAAUCUCAUAUUUGUACUUAGUGAGAUUUUAACCUAUUCCCUAUAACAUAUGAGGCAUUGUUGGGUAAAUAAGCCAUCAACAUUGUCACCUGUAAGUGCCUUAUAUGAUAUAGGGCACGGAUUUGAAUCCAACCAGGUGCGUUGCGUGUAUGGUUCACAUUAUCAAGCAUUCCAAAGAGGCAAUCCCUUUCUGUGAACCACCACCAAUACCUUUGCAGGGACUCAAGCUUUCGACAAAAUCGAGAUACAAACUUUCACCAAGGGGCAAUACUAGACAUGUUGAGUGCUUGACCCAAAGUUCAAUCCUCAACAAUCCCAAUUAGAAAAAGCUAGCAAUUCAAUUAAGUGUGACUAACCAUUUCAUUAGCAGAUAGCAUAUUAUAGCUAUCGAAAUAAUUCUUGCCAACAUUGACCAAUCAGUUCAUAAUAUUACAAUCACACGAAAGAAAUAAAAGGGUCGGUUUAUCUGAACCUGAUCGGUUCGAUCCUCUGCAAUGACCUGAUCAAAACCAGCAUCCUUAAGCAUCUGUAUAACAUUAUGGCAAAAACAAGACAGAAACGGUAAGUCGUAAUGUUAGAAUUUUGUUAAUAAAAAACAAGAAUGUGACAUGAAAUCAAGAAAUGGUUAUUAAAUUGAACAAUCCAGACCUGGCCAUAAGCUUUUACAACAUGGAGAUCAUAGCCUCUCUGCUUGAUGUACUCUGCAAAUUCAGCCGAUGAAGCUCCUGCGCUUUUGCAGUAAUCACUUAUAAGAACUUUGCCCCCUGGCUUCAACCAUUUGUAGAAAUAUCUAAAUAGUGCAGGCUUGUCCUGAAAUUCAAUUUACCAUUAAGCUUUACUGUAGAAAUUUCUGAUGUUGAUGCUAAUGCUAAAUCUCUAAUCCAUUGAAUCUUAAUUAAACCAUCUUUUAAUUAAUAUUGAAGGUUAAUUGCACCAGAAAUUCACAAAUUCUAUUUUUAAAUUGAUCUCUAAACUUUAAAAUGUUAUAAAUGUUCAAAUUGACUCUUAAGUAUUAUCUCUGGGUUUAACAUAGAGCAUAUUUAAAAUAUGUGGAUCAAAUUUUAAACACCUUCAUGCAACUUGACAGUAAGAGGGCUAUUUCCUCUUCUUUUUAACACAUCAGACCCAAGCUGUUAUAGGUACAUAUAUGUUUAAUAUCUGACCACUUAAGCUGACAUUUAACACCCAAACUGACAUUUUGGGUGACAGAAAACUUGACUGAUAGAUACUUAUAUUUUGAGGACUCAAUUAAAAUGUUAAAUUUGAAGCCUAACUUGGAAUCUGAAUCAUACUUACUUGAAUGUGUAGAAUCGUGUCACGGCUGUAGAUAACAUCAAAGCUGUUAUCUGGAUAAGUCUUUGUAGUGCAAUCAGCAACUUCAAAUUCCACAGAGCAAUUGAGUCCAUUGGCUCUUUCAAGAGCAAAAGAUAUCAUAUUUAUGGACAGAUCGAUGCCCACAACAUAGACUCCAAAUUCUUUUGCCAUAUAAAAGUCACCUCCACCUAUGCCACAGCCAACAUCUAGAACCUUUUGGCCAGGCUUUAGAUCCAACUUCGCCACAAAUUCUUUCGUUGUUUCUGCUCGAAAACAUGUUUCAUUUUAGGAAGAAGACCGUGUAAAUUAAAACAAAUAUGCAAAUAUAGAGAUUUGGUUGAAGAGGUAAUACCUAUUCCUCCAGUGCUCACAAAUCCUUCACCAAAGGUACGCUCAUAACGAAGUAUGCUAUUAGCUUUGUACUGAACAGUAUCCAAGAACCGCUGGAAUCCACCAUCAUUAUCUGAACUGACCUUUUCCCAGAUCCAGCAAAUCUGCAUUUGCAAACAAUUCGGUUGAAUCUUGUCCAUAUUGUAUCCAAUUCAGAAAAAUAAUGAUAAUAAAAUGAAAAUCGAUGAGUUCAUGUUUUGUUUUUGCCUGAUUCUGAUUCUUUUUGUGCUUAACAUAAGCACUGAUGCACUUGUAGCCAACUAAAGAAAGUUUAAACGAGUUUCCUGAAUCAUCAGUUGCAUGACAUUCUUUGAAGACCUGCAUUAGAAUACAUAGCCAAACAUCUGUUUAGUAAAACAAUACCUCAUGCUGUUUCAUAUACAUAUUUCAACCCUCAGAGCACAAACCUGUGUGUAAAAUCUUGGCUCACGGUAGAGAGAAGGGUCAUGCUUUUGCUUGCAGUCGCCAGAUUGAUCAAAACAAGCCUCCCUGAAGAAAAUAUGUCCUCCGACUUUCAACCAUUUCAUCAUCCCUUGGGCCAAAUUCUCUACCUGCAUUUAGUGAUGGUUAACACUUAACAAUAGUUAACUUGUGAAACUGAACCAAGUUUUUCUCAUAAAAUUACCUCUUCAUCUGAGAGAUACAUCAGCAGCAAAUUUGAGAAUAUCAAGUCCAUUGAUCCUUCUGAAAUAUCCAAAUCUGGGGCAGUCGCAUCGGCACAAAGGAAUUUGAUGUUCUUAUAAUGUCCAUUGAUGCUUUCAUUCUGCAAAUAAGGAUAUAUCCAAAGUGAAAAAUCUAGUCAAGACCCUUAUGAAAUAGCAAUCUAAAGAAUUUCUGUCAGGUUGUUGAGCUUCAAUUACCUUCUUGAUAACAUCCUCAAUGAAGUCUAAAGCUAUAACACUAUCAGCCUUCUGAGCUAAUUCACCGGUAAAUCGACCAAUGCCAGCUCCUAACUCCAAAAUAGAUUUCCCUUCAUAUGGCGGGAGCAGGGAGAGCACCUGCGUAUAUCAACAAUGAACAAUUAGGAAUCUAAAAAUAAUUAUUGAAGGAUAAACGUAAAAUACAAAAGAACAGCAACACUUAAAAGGUAAUAAUUAGCAUGGAUGUAUAUUUGAGUCUAUCCUACUAUAAUUACAACUGAAAUUAUUCAUAAAUAGAAAAAAUUAAAUAUAAAAAAAAAGAGUCGAAAAGUUGACACUAAGAAUACGUAUAUAUAAAUAAAAAGCAACAAUUCCUUUAAUUGCUUUGAAAAAAGCAGAAUCACAAGGCACAACUUUUUUUCAGCUUUUACAUCAAGCAUUACCUAAAGUUAGUGCUUAAAAAUCAUAUCUUUUUUUUUUAAUCCAAGACCAAAUCAUUUCCUCUAUCUGUGGUUGUUAGAUAAACCAAUUAUUAUGCCAGUACAAAUGAAGAAAAACGACAUCAUUAGCAUAAUUACAGAGUAAUCAUCGUGCCACACAAAACUUAAAGACUAUUAGCAGCCAGCAUGUUAUCGAAUUUUUGUGUUAUGUGUCAUAUAUAUUUUUUCGUGGCAUAAAUAUCUUAAUUUAUAUAUUUAAAUAUAUGCUCUCUUUUUUUUCUUUUCUUCAUAUCAUUCCUGUUCUUGAUCUAGUUUUAGUUAUUUUUCCCGCUUUAAUUUAUGUCACUUCUUUCGUAAUUGGCGCUGCAUUAAAUGAGAUUUUUCUUUGAUAAUAUUUGUAGUAUCGAAUAACUAAUUACUCAUUUAAAAGUUGGAUAAACUCAAACAAUAUAGAUAAUUAAGGAAAAAAGGAAUUAUAAGCUGCGAUGACAACAAUUCAACAAAAUAGAAAACUGAGCAUCAACAUAAAACAACUAAAAUCAAAAUAAAGCUCAAAAUGAGAUUAAUAAAAAGAUCAACGAAUAUAAACACAUACUGGUAGUGAAAAAAGAUUAAAGAAAAGGAAUUAAAAUAAAUUCAAAAUAUCAAUGAAUAAAAAAUUACUUCGAGUCGGUCUUCUUUGUCGAGAUCUGCGUCCUUGGAAUCAAGUAUCGUACCAUCCUCUGUUAAAUCAAUGGAGUGCUCCAUCCAGUAGUUCUUUUGAACCUCACGUUCACCUGUUAUCAUUUUCCAAUUAAUCAGUUCUUUCUUUUUUCUUUUACUAAAAAGUCGAUCAGAUAUCAAUGCUCUUACAAGUGUUUGUUAAAAUUUGUCAAUCGAUUUCGAUUUUCAUUCUUCCAAUUCCGAUAAAAAUGCAAUGAAAUUUUCAGAUGGAGCUUAGAGGUCUCACCGUUAGUCGCCAUGGUUACCGGAGAAAGAUCGCUAGUAAGCUUUUAAGAGUUCGAUUUUUUUUUCUUUUAAAGAAAAAAGAGAGCGAAAAAGAUUUAAAAUCCCUCAACGGCAAGACGAGAUCUUGAAAACGACCUUGAUCUACUGUUUUGGAUCCUUCCUCGCUGCUGCAUCACACACUAAAAUGCAAAAUAAUUUGAGCUAAGAUUACUAUUGGAACUGCAAAUUGAAUUGUGUUGUGUUGUGUUGUGGAAGUUUAAGGCCAUCAUUUUUUUAUAGAGCCAAGAAGGACAAUUUCGUCAUUUCAUAUGAGUACUAUGCAUCUCAAUCUAAAAAGCGAAUUAAUACCAUUGGACACUAAGUACAUAAUUUAAUUGUUGUAGAUUAAAUCAAAUAUUGAAUUGAUUAUUCUGUUAAUAAUUUUAUUUAUUUUUAUAAUAAAAAUUGAUUUAUAUAUGUAGUAUUUUAUAUAUUAUUGUUUGGUUAUUUUGUUAGUUAUAUCAGUUUUUAGUAAUAAAAAUUAAUUUAUAUAUAUUAACAUGAGAUAUAUGUAGUAUUUUAUAUAUUAUUGUUUAGUUAUUUUGUUAGUUAUAUCAGUUUUUAGUAAUAAAAAUGGAUAAAAUUUUUAACAAAAAUUAUCAAUUUACUUUUUAAUUUAACGUACAGAGAUUAAUUAAUGUAUUUAUUUUUUUAAUAAAUGAGAUAAAAUAUAAUUUAACUCUAAACCCAACUUGUAGGUAAAAUUAAAUAAAAGAGAAUGUAUUGGGGGUCAACCAUCCAUCUUUCUUUUUUAUGAAAAAAUAAACUUAUUAUUUCCUAUUGGAUUUUAUUCAUCCAAACUUGGAACCUCUCUACGUUUAUAAGCACCGAACAAAAGUAGUAAAGUACACUUAGGGAACAAUCUAUCUUUUUCUUUUUCCUUUUCUCUCUCUAGAUUAGUAUCUUUUUAGUAAUUUUUUUCUCUUUUUUUUUGAAUAAUUUCAUUACAGUUUUUUAUUACAUUUGCUCUUUUUUGACAUAAUAUCUAGAAUUAUUCAUAACUCCUCUCCAACCCAUAAAUAUAAGGAUAAUAUGUCUCAACGCACUCGAACUCACAUCUUCGUACAUUGACAAUAAUACUUAUGUCAAUCGAGUUAAAACUCAAUCGGCUUUAGUAAUCUCUUUCUUAAUCUCCUGUAUCUUUGGUCAACUUCUCAAGUACCAAGUGAUACUUAUUUAUCUCUUGCUUCAUGAACUCUAAAUUUCUCAUUUCUUUUAGGGAUUUGGUUAAUCAAGAUUAGGAUUGGGUUCUAUUUUUUCUCUCUUUUUAAAGUGUUUGUUUGUUUGUUUGUUUUUUUCUCUUGUUAGGGCUUGCUUGAAUUGUCUAGAAUAGUUUUUUUGUUAUCCUUUUGCUUAUUGUCAAUCUUCUCCUUAUCUAAAAUCCUCUUCGACUCGGUCCUUUUAGGAGCCAAGUAAAGAGUCCCUCUACCUAGUUGAGAGCACAAAUUAAAAGGUUAUUGAGCUUAGGCCUCCUUUGAAGGUGACUAUUGAGUCUAUGAAGCAUCCUUUUAUGUCCAAUUAUUAGGCAUUUUCGUGUAUUUCUCGUUUUGCAUGAAGGGUUGGAAAAUCCUUCCUUAAGGAUGUGCAUUCUAAGCACUGUCAUACAACAUGCGUCCCUCCACCGUUUUGUCAUCUUUUCACACUUGGUUUCGUUUCGAAUAAAGCCAUACUUAGGUCAUCAUAAUGCUAUAAAUAGUCAUAUUUAGGUCUCAAUUAGGUGCGCUGAAAGAGAAAAACAUUAGCUUUCAUAUUUUUAAGUUUUCUUAAAGGUUUUCUUUCAUAGUAGUUGUAGUCAUCGCACUAACGUUCGUCAAAGCAGCAUUUGGAUUGAGAUUUGGAGCUGCAAUUAUUUAAAUAAUAUUUUUUUUCUCUUAAUCUCUUUUCAAUUAUUAUUAGUAUGUUUGCUUGAUCGUUCUUGUUUGUUGAUUUGAUGUUCGUUACCAUAUUUUUUACAUUGCAAGCUCAAUGAUUUAAUUCAUUAUUUACUUAUUUGUUUUAAUUAUCUCUAUUUAGUUAAUUAUUUUAUUUUUACUCUUUUAAUAAUUGCUUUAUUUACUUUUAGUUAAUUCUUAAAAUCAUAUUAAUUUAAUUAAAUUGUUAUGUUGGGAUUUUUAUUUUUUUUCAAAAAUUACAAAUCUCUCUAUGGGAUCAAUCUUCAAUAGAAUUAUUUGAUUGUAAUUUAUUAGUUGACAAUAAUCUCAUAUAUUUAUGAGUAAUGGUGAAAAGUAGUAACAAAUCUUAAACUUUAAUUAUAUAUAUUAAUUGUUAUCAUUAAUUAUAUUCAGAUAAGUAUUUUGCCUGAAUUUACAGAAUAAUAGAAUAAGCUAGGUUUAGUUUAAUUUACUUCUUUUCUUUUUAGUUUUUAAUAGUGCAUGCCUAAGAGUGAUAAAUUUGACGUACCCUUCAACCCUGAGAUAGAGAAAACACUUUGAGACUUUAAGAAACAGAGAAGAGUAAUCGAAAUUCUAAAAACUUUGAAUUCUGAAACCAUGGCGUUACCACCCAAUAAUAUUCAUCUGAUUAAUCCUCCCAUUAACAACAAUAGACCAAAUGCACAAAAUCCAAUUCGUAGAAGCAGUAGAGACUAUUCAAUGCCUGAAGGAGAAAGAAUUCUGGGUAGUAUUAGGUUACUUGAAAAUUUUGAAAAUUUUGAAAUAAAACCUAUUACCUUGAGUAUGCUUUAGAAAAAUGCUCAAUUUUAAUGAGGAUCGAAUUUACAUCUAAGAAGUUUCUUAGAUGUUUGUAAUACUUAGAAAUCCCUGAGAAUAUUGGAUGAUUUCAUCAGACUAACUUUAUUUCCGUCAUAAGUCAAUGGUUACACUCACUAUCACCAAGAUCCAUCACUACCUAGAACCAACUAGCAGCCUGGUUCUUGCUUAAGUACUUCCAAGCCGACGAAAACUGUGAAGCUUAGGAACGACAUUACCUAUUUUACGCAGUAUGAGGCAUGGGAACAUUUCAAAGAUAUCAUUAGACGUUUCCCUCAUCAUGGUAUGGCGGAAUGGAUGGAAGUGCAAGCAUUCUACAACGGGUUAACGCCCAUUUGUAGAUCCACUCGCGAUUGACUUCUAAUUGCUCCUGCCCAAACAAGAGGUAACUAAAAACAACACUAAACUUAACAUGUUAGAAGCUUCUUUUGAGCAGAAAGUGAAGAGUCAUCCAAGUGAAACAAUCACCACACAAAUAAUUUAUUUUUAUGAAAAUAUAAUCAAAUUAAUAUUUUUUUUUUGUAUUGUCAAUCUUUAGGCUGUCUUGUGAAGUCAAGAUAUCUUUUAAAAUAAUGAACUCCAGUACUUUGAUUUGUGAUGGAGAAUUUUUGAGUUUAAAAAUAAAUAAAAUAAAAUCCUAUCAUGCAUAAUUUGUUGCUAGCUUUUAACAGGAGAGAUAAGUAAACUUAUACCUAGUGAUAACUAUAAAAAAAUAAUAUAAAGCAUAAUUGAUUAAAAUAUAUUUCCAAUUUUUAAUUAAAUAAACUUAAUACAUGAUUUUUCUUACAACAUAACUAUUAAUCGAGUGUUUAUUUAUUAGACUUAAAUUAUCAUUGUAUCAAAAAAUUAAUAUUUUUAAAAUUGGAUAGGUGGUUGAAUUGAUUAGACCCUCAAUUCGUCCAUCUUAUCCGAUUAAAUAAAUUAUUAAAAAAUUUAUAAAAAUUUAAAAAUUUCCCAAUCUAAUACCCUUUUCUAUAGUGAUACUCUAAUCGAUUUUUUAUUCAACUUAUCUGAUUUAUGGAUCCAAUCUAAUUCAAUAUAUAUAUACACGCGUGUGUGUGACUAAUUGGCUUUUGGAUUUGGUGAGGGGAUUUCGAGGAAAGAAAUAUAAAAUUGACGAGUGAGCACUUACGACAAUGUGCGGGGGACGUCAUCGUCAUUUUCCUUUUCCACCCCAAGAUUUUUGUCAUUUUGUAGUAAUUUCAUUGAAUGCAACAAUUUCUUUUAUAUAGAAUGUAUUCGGGUCGAGACAAAUCAUCAAUAAUGCAGCAUAGUGAAAUAUUAUUCAAAUAUGUUCCUUUUUUUAAUUUUUAUUAAAUAAGUGGAAUCUGAUUCUUCUAUUAUCAAAAUACAAGUGUCCAAAUUUUAUUUUAGGUAUAAAAACAAAAUUAAAUAAAUAAAUUAUUUGAUAUAGUGGAGUUUUAUAUUUCAGGGUUGUAAUUUAGCUUAUAUUUAUAUUUUAUGUUGAAGGGAUAACUAGGUAACGCAAAAAUGGUGAUGUGAGGAUGUACGAUUCACUUUGUUCUAUAUAAGAUGAAGAGUUAUCAUUUAAGAUGAUCAGAACGGGUGAUAAGGAGGUGAGAAACACGAGAGAGGGAUGGGAUAAGAGAAAGAGCUUGCCUCUGACUCUAGACCUUGGGUCUUAUAUACCUUUAAGACCUAGUGCUAAGGUGUCGCAUGUUAAAUUCUUAUAAGAAUGUGAGACAAUUGGUUAAGUGGUCUUUCAUAUAUGUGAUAUGGAAUAGAGGACCAAAAUUAUAUUCAAAUUGUUUAAUUCGAAAAAGAAUGAUUUAAAUUUGACCUGUAAAAAAAAAUAAAAAAAUUUAGAAAUAAAAAAAAUAAAAGCAUUGAAAGAAGAAAUUUGAUAACAAUGAAUAAAUAAUAAAGAAACAAACAAACAAAAAACGAAAGAAAUUAGAAGAUGGAACGAGUAAACUAAUGGAUAUGAACAAACAAACAAAUUGAAUGAUGAAUAAUAAAUUCUCACGACUCCUUAAAGAAAAUUAAGAAGAAAACUACUUCUAAAAAUUAAAAAAAAAAAUCUUACACAAAAAAACUAACUCCAUAGUUAAAAACGUUAUUAAUGAAAAUAAUUGUCUAUUUAGUGAACAAUGAUGAGGCUUUUAUAUGGGCUAGCUAACUACAUCCAAAUAACUUAAAAUGUUAAAAAAAAUCAAAAUUCGGAAUAAAUAAAUAAUAAAAUAAUUAUACCUAAUAAAUACAAUAUUGUGUUCACAUGUAAUAAAAAUUAAGCCUAAAAAUCGAACCUAAUAUGAUUUGAACUCUAAUUAAAAACUCGUAAUAAUCUCGUCUAAAAAUUCUGCUCGCAUAGUCUACAUUAAAAUGAUCAUAACUUGAGUUCUUGAACUUGAAAUUGAGUGGUUCAAAAUGAGUUUUGAAGUCAAUAGAUAGAUCUUCAAACGCUAUGAAGAUAUCUCAACCCAUAAAUACCUAGAUAUCAUCUAAAAAGUUAACGCAAGUUAGCUAAUUUUUCAAACUUGAAAAUUGACAGUUUCAGUUAAUUGAAUUGAAUUGAAUAAUCUUCACCCCAUCCGUGCAUGUAUCAAUAAGCCUAGGUAAGGUGUAGAGGUGCUCAUGGGCCGGGCGGCCCGGCCCGGCCCGACGGCCCGCCUGAAAUAUGGGCUUGGGCAAAAAAACGAGGCCCGUUUAGAAAACGGGCCGGGCCUUGGGCACCACUUUUUCGGCCCGGGCCCGGCCCGAUAUAAUAAAUAUAUUUAUUUUUUUUAAUGUUAAAAUAUUUUUUACAUACUUUUUAAAUUUUUUUUAAAUUUUAAAAUAUUUUUAAAAUACUUUUUUUUUAAUUUUUUUAAAAUUUAAAAUAUUUUUAAAAUACUUUUUAAAAUUUUUUAAAAUUUUUAAAAUAAAAAUGGGCCGGGCCGGGCUUAUGAUUUUUCCCUGGGCCGAGCCUGGGCAAAAUCUUAGGCCCAUAUUUCGGGCCGGGCCGGGCCCAGGCCUAGGACAUGGGCCAAAAUUUUUUUAUGGGCCCGGCCCGAACCCGACCCAUGAGCACCUCUAGUAAGGUGGCUAUAAAACAUGUUUUUAAUCACAUCAAAUGUGAUAUGGUGGUUGGAGUCUGACACGUGGAUUAAUAAGUGGGAGUCCUCUUUAGUGUCAAGCUAAAGAGUAUUUUCAAGAGGCGCUCUUAAGAGGUUCAUUUAGACCACAAGCGAGUUCACUGCUCAGUCCCAAUUAUUAGAGUAUAAAAAUUUCAUUACCUAAAAAAAUUCUACUGACAGUAUAUCGAAUAGUAAUACAAAGUAAUAUACAUAAAGCUCGCGAGAUGUGCUCAAUUCCAUAUUUGACACUUGUCUAACCUGUAUAAUUUAUACACAUUCAAUAAACUAUAACAACAUACAUGUUAAAAAGUAUACAUAACAAUUAUAUUAAUAAUCAUUAAAUCCAAUUCAAAUUAACUUACUAAUUAGAAUAAAUUCAUAGAAAAAUCUUACAUUUACAUAGAGCGACUUUAAACAUAAAAUUUCAAAAUUCUCAAAAAUUUCUUUAUGUAAAUUAACAUUCGUAUUAGCGGACCCAACCUAUAUUUGAACCUAAUGGAGACCUUAGGCCCAAUAUCGAUAUGGGGACCCAAUCCAUACUUGAAUCUAAUGGAGACAAAUGGCAAAAUUCCAUUAUUUACUUUCGAAAUAUGGGGGACUCAACCCAUAUUUUGAACCUAACAAUAGGCCCAAUACCAUUAUUGACUAUUGAAACAUAGGGGACCCAACUCAAAUCUAUAUUUGGGCCUAAUACCAUUAUUUACUAUUGAAAAAUAGGACCCAACUGAUGGCCGAAAAUAUAUAGGGACCAAACCCAAAAUUGAACCUAAUGGAGACAAUAGGCCCAAUAAUACCAUUUCUGCAAGGGGAUCGGACCCAUAUUUGAGCCUAUGCACUCCUUCAUUAUCAUUUUUGUCAUGUUUAAUCCUUAAUUGUAAGUUGAGUUCCAAUGGAUCAUACCCUAUUUGAGUGGUAAUCAUCAAUGUAAUGAAACAAAUGUUUAAUAAUAGUAAUCAGAAUAUGUAAUGUAAUUCUAAUAACAAGUUCAUAAAACAAUGUAGCUGACUAAAAUAUGCAGAAACGUAAAUUUGUUCUUUAAUUAGUAAGAUAAGAAACCGAUAAAUUGAUAAACCAAUUAUUGCAAAACAUUCAAAUAUAUGCAUAUUGAUGCCUAACCCAGAGAAACAAUCAUUUCUAAUGGAUAUCAUACAACGAAUGUAUGAAAUAUCAUGAUGUCCAUGAUCUUAAAAUUUCAUGAUUCCUCUACUUCAAAACAAACCUCACAGUAUCAUGCUAUUCAGUAUUGGAUUUAUAUAGCUAAUUGGAUAUCAGCUCGAUUGACAUCGGUAUUGUUAUCAGUAUAAAAUGAUGUGGGUUCGAGUGAACUGAAGCACAUUAUCCUCGUAUUCAAAAAGUUGGAGAGGGAUUAUAAAUAGUUCUAAAUGAUAUUAAUGUUAAAAAAAAUAUUAAAACUUUAAAUUUAUAUUAUUUAAACAAAGGCCUAACAAAUAAAACUUUAACCAAGAAACAAAUGUCGGCAAUUUUAAUUUAAUUAGAAAACUUGCAACUCGUACAUCCAUGUUUGAGUGCAUGCUUAUAAAUUGUGGUCGUGGGCCUUUCCCACUAGGUUUUGCCUUUUUCUGGGAAUUAUAUAUAUAUAUAUAUAUUAAUAUCGGAUUAAAAAAUUUUAUUUAUUAUUACAUAGAUUAUUUUAAGUUAUCAUUUUUAUUAUUUUCAAUAUUAUAAGAAAUCAAUUGAUUUAUUUGAUAGUAGAAGGAUUCAUUUGAUCCGGUCCUGUAAUAGAAAGAAUUGAUAAGUUUUUCACUUAUAUAUAUGUAACAAGUAUAAUUAUAUUAACAAAUUUAAUGACUGAAUUGCUAAAAUAUUAAUUAUAUAAAAAAAUAUAAAAUGUUUUAACUUUAGACAAAUAUAAAUAAAUUUCUGGAGUUAUAUAAAUAUAAUAUUAAGAGCAUGUCCUUAAAGAAACGACAACCUAUAUGCUUUGAAGUGUAAACUUUCAAAAACGUGAUGACAAAAAGUUUUGUGACUCACAAGAUGAUAUGGGAAGACAUGCAUUAAAAAAUGACUUCUUUUGAUUUUAUUUAUUUAUUUUUAACUUUACGAGGGAGCAAUUUGGGUAAAAUCCAAGAUUUAUUAUGAUUCCAACCAUUGCUAUUAUAUAUAUUGACAAAGAAAAUAAAAUAUGGGAUCAAUAUAUUUGCCCAUAUUAUUCACAAACCAUCUGCCUUAUCCUCUCAAAGUUGCCCCCUUUUCUUUUAAGAAUAUAUCAUAUUUUAUACAUGAGAUUACAACACGCUCGCAUUGCGAUUUACGAACAAAAUUAUACGAGAAUUUGAUUAAAAUGAUAAAAUUUUAAAAAGAAUGGUUUUUUUUAGUCAUUUUUUAAUUGAGUUUAUACUCAGUUAACUUGUGAUAUAAACUCAACCAAAUAUAAAUAUUUGAUUCAUAUAUUAAGAGAAAGCAAUGGAAUCACUUUGAUAUAUAUUGGAACUUGUUUAAACUGAAGUUGUACAAACACAGAUAGUCAAUCUAAUUACCCUACAAAUCGCAUACCCUAUUUCCAAGAUUCAAAUUGAAAUAAAUAAAUAACCUUAAAACAAGACAUUCCUUUUUUAUGGAACAUCUGUUAAGUUGGUUUUGCAUAAAUUAUAAUUUUUUAUAAUCGAUUUUUCAAGUUCUCGUAUCGUUGGAGUUUCGAAUUAUUUGAGAGAUAUUAGGGAUUUAAAUAAAAUGUUUUAAUUAGAAGUAAGUAAUAUAAAAACAGUAGAUAUUGUGCAUACUGUUACCGAGAUUCAUUUUGCCCAGCACCAAUUUUAUAAACAUUCGUUUAAGACCACUUUCACUUUUCACGUGCAGUGGACGGACACUCUUGACUCUUCCAAUAAUAUAUUUUUGAUUGGAGUAUAAUAAUAUUAUAAUAAAAUAAAGGGUAGCGGUUAUUCAAUUAUGGAUGAAAAGUUAUCAAUCCGUCACUUAAUUUUAUCCUCAUUUAAUUAAAGUAAAAAUAGGACCAAAAAAUGAAAUUAAAUAAUUGAAUAAUGAUUGUUUUAUAAUUAUUUUAUAAUUAAAUCACCAAAUAUAAGAUUGCUGCAUGCGUUGCGUAAUAAACUAAGCUACAAUAAAACAUUAAAAUAAUAAUUUUAUUAUUAUUAUUAUUAUUUCCUUCUAUCCCUUUCAGUAGUUUUUAGAAUUUUAACCACGAAUAAAAACAAACUCACGUGCAUGCACACAAAGUUCUAUGCAGUUGCUCUUAUUCUUUUCUUUUUUUUUUCUCAAAAGUAAUUAUUAGUUCCACUCUAUUUUUCAAAUAAAUAAUUUUCUCAAAUUUUUAAAUUUAUUUAUAGCAUUUCUACUUUUGUUUCAUUAAUUUGCUCGACAUUAAUAUGUAGAGGUUCUAUGUUAGGAGCUAGACCGCAUUGUCUUCUCUGUUAUAAAAAUGUAUAAAUUAGGUUAUAUAUAUUAGAAUAAAAAGUAAAUUGAUUAUAUUUAUUAAAAAUUAGUCUCGUUGACAGAUUAGCAAUUAAGUAGUGACACUUGAUGUGCCACAUGUACCUUAAGUUGAUGUAUAGAAAUCAAAUUUUAAGAGUAGAAAUAGUAACAAAAGGACCAGUUUGCUCUUUAAUCUAAUGUAUAAGUACUAAUUUGUCUAUUUGUUGAGUAAAGGGAACAAAAUGUAAUUUAGUUUCUAGUAUAGGGGCCUCCAUGGUACUUUUAACACUUUUUACAUUUUUUUAUUACAACUAUUUGUUUUUGUUUUUAUUAAUAAUUAUCAAUUUUUUUAAAAAAUAGUAAUUGGGUAAAUUUAAAAUUAUACAUGACAUUUGAUUUAAUGUUUAAUUUUAUACAAUAACUUUAAUUUUGUAUAAUUUUAUAAAGUAUAAAAUAUCGAUUUGAUUAAAUUCUUACAAACUAUUAACACAAUUAUUGAUAUAACAUCAUUUUAUGUUUAUAUAUUAAAUACACAAAUAAUUGUAUUUAUCUAAUAUAAAAAUAAAUUGACAUAUUUAUUUUUUAAAAUGCGUAUAAUUGAAUUAAAACUAAAGUUUCGUGUAUAUAACCACAUCAAAUCAAAAUCCAUGUAUAUCAAAUUGCACAUUGAUUCAAAAUUAAUGUAUAAUUUUGAUAUUUGUCCUAAUAAUAGUUAGUAGUUAACAUCUCAAUUAGUUAUCAAUUGAUAUUAGUUAUAAACCUUAAUUAUUAAUUAUCCAAUAAUGUCCUUACACAUGAUUUUGUCUUUUUGCAACUACAUAUAUUUAUGUUAUAAUUAAGGUAAAUGAUUAUGAAAUUAGACUCUUCUAAUUGUCUUCCACGCGUGAUUAAAUUACUUUUACAAAACAUUAUUUUAUAUUUAUUUCAGAAAAGCAUGGAAAUUCAAACAUGCAGGCUUGAUUUAUAUGUCGUCAUUAAUACUUACCCAAAAUUAAAGAUAGUUAUGUGACCAUUAAAGAUAAAAUUAAAAAGUUUAGUGACCAUUUUGUAAUUUUUCAUAAUUAAUUGAUAAAAAAAGAGAUUUACUAAUAGUUGGGUGGCAAAAAUGAAAAAAGAAACCCAUAGUUGCUGACUAUUAAUGUAGUUUGCCCAAAAUAAGAAUUGGGCAUAAUGAUUUUUUGGCCCUCCAACUUUACAAAAGAAAAUGUCAUUUUAGCUAUCCAUUUAAUUUUUUGCCUCUUUUAGCCUUGAACUUACGUUGUUUGUCAAAUUACCCCAAAAUGGAUGAAAAAUUAACCUUUGUUAAUUUUGUUGAUGUAGUAUACACGUGGAUAAUGUCACAUCAACAGUUAAUUAAUUUUAAAUUUUAAAAAAAUAUUUUCUAUAAUUUUUAUACAUUUUUAAAAAUGUUAAAUUUUUUAAGAUAUUUUUUAAAUUAAAAAAUAAUUAAUUGUUGACAGGGUUUAGACUUUAGAGUGAUUGACAAAUAACACAAGCUUAAAAAUAAAAAUGGACGAAAAAUUAUAAAUCAUUAUGCUUAAGAAUAGCUCUAGUUCCGCAGCUAUUUAUUUGUAGAGUAUAAAGCUUGAAAAUACUACGCCGAUCAACGUUGCAUCAAAGUAAAAUGGUAGCUUUCUAAAUUUCUUAAUUAUAUUUUUAUUUAUUAAUUGUUUUUAUUUUUAUACUAUUUAUUUUUUAGAAUUUAUAAAUGUUGGGAUAAAUUCGAUUAAACAACGAACAAAUAAAAUAUUAAAGAAAUUGAAAAGAUCAAACACAAAUAAUUUACGUGAAAAAAUUCUUCCGAAGAGGAUAAAAAACCAUAGAUAAAGAUUAUUUUACUAUAAUGGCAAAAACGAAUGGUACAAAGAUGGAAACAAAACUAAGCCCUGAAACUCGAAAAAAAAAACCCUUAAAAUGUAAACACAAAAUUCUUUAAAAGCUUGUGAAAGCUAAUACCUAAAUAUGUUAUGGGUUAUUUUUGUAGACUAAUCAGAGUUUAAGUGUGAAACUAAAAAAUAAAGUUUAACUAGGAGAAGAAAAAUUGAAAAAUACGAGACCACAUUUCAAUGAGUUUUUUUAACGAUAGUGAACUGAACCGAUUAACAUGAUGAAUGAACUAGUGACCCAACAAACCUUCUGAAAUAUUAUAUAAGAGUCAAACAUUUGAAAUUAUUAAAAAAAUGACCAAACAUUUUCGAACGUGCUAAAAUAAGAAUUUUUUUUUUCACAUUUCAUCCUAAUUUAUUGUACAGAGCAGGUGAAAACAACAUGUUUAAAAUAGAACACAUCACAAUUAAGUUAGAUAUUACUUGAAAUGACAUAAGAUAAAAAUAAAAUUUGAAUCUUGAGAUAUGACAUUUGAAAAAUUCUUAUUUGAGCACCUUCUUAAAUGUUCAACACUUAUUUGACUAUUUUGAAAGAUUUGACCAUUAUGCGAGCGACUUCUAAAAGGUUCAGCCCUAAUUUGAGCAUUUAAUACAAAUUAAAAUAUAAAGACUUGUGAGGGGAGGUGAGACUCGGACCCUCGAAUAAUGGAAGUAUAGUGCUCAGGAUGUCCAUGAUUAGUUUUAUUCCCAGGUCUCCUAACUCAUAGGAGAGCCUAAUCUGGUUAAUAGAGUUUAGGAAACGCAUAGCCAUCAAGGGCAUGGGUUGAAAUCUCAAAUGAUACAAUAGAGGGACCAGAACCAUAAUUUAACCAAAAGACAAAACUUAUAGGAAAAAAAGAAAAAAAGAAAAAAAAAAGAAAAGAGAGGCAAAAAGGUGGGUGGAGGAGAGAGGGCAUAGGGGCAAGAGGUGAGAAACCCACGAAGCAUUGUCGGAGAAACGGCCGACCCAACACCUGUUAGUGGGAAACAAUACAUCUAUCAGUCCCAUUUCAUUACAAUAUACCCACCAACAAUAUCACCAAUCAAUUUUAUUUUAUUAAUUUUAAUUUAAAUUUAAUAUUAUAUGGAGGUGAUAAAGACAACACUUACGUUGCUUUUUCCUUUUCAUUUUAUUGUCCUAAAUUUUUAGUGCUUUGUUUUCUUUCUCAUAUUUUGUGAUACUGUUAUCAUAAUACUUCCUAACUUCUUUUUCUGUUUUCCCACUAACUUUUCGUUUAAUUCAUUAAUCAUCGUUACAAAAUCUUAGACAUUUGUGUGUUAUAUCUUCCAUUUAACGCCUCCUUUUUAUUUUUUAUUAUUAAUUACUUAAUUAGCGGUAGAUUUAGGGUUUAAUUAAAAUUUUGAAAAGCAUAACUGCCAUUUUUAGGAUUUUAAAUUUCUUUUGAAAGUCUAAUUAAAAUUUUUAAAAUACUAUAAUUGUAUAAUUAAAAUUUUUAAAAAUUUAAGGGACCAAAAGUGCCUCUAAGACUCAACGACUGCUUGAAUCUUCAAAAAUAGAAAUUCAACACUCUUCUUUUUACAAACCCAUGUUAUUGAAUGCCGACUCAGUAGACCACAACUUGUUUUUUUUCAUAUUUUUUAUUGGAAAAUUAAAUUAAAUAGGCUUCAAUAUUUAUUGUUAAAAACAUUUAAAAAAUUGAAAUAAUAUUUUUUUUAAAUGUUUAAUGAAAUGAACUUUUUCAAACAAGCACUUAAUUAGCUUCUAUUUCAUUUCCUUAUGCUUAUAUGUUCAUUUAACAUAUAGGAGAAUAUUCAAUUUUUUCGGUAUUUUUUAAAUUAAAUCAACUUAAUCGGCCAUCGUCUAUAAAAAUUGACCUGAACGAAUUAGAAUUCAAAAAUCGACAUGAUCGAACUAGUUUUAGAUUGAUCUAUUAACUGAAUUAGUCGGCUUCGUUUAUUGAACUUGAAUAAUAUAUAUUUAUUUUAUAAAUUACAAAUAUAAUUUAAAUAUUUUUUUUUCAAACGAUUCGGUUUGAAAAUUUAAAAACCAAUAAUCGAUUGGAAUAGCCAACCGAACCAAACUUAAAACCGAAAAAUCACCCAAACUAAAAUUGAUUGGGUCAAUUUAGUUAGUUUUCUCGAUUUUAAUCGAAAAUUACUUUUCUCUAAUUCCACAUGUUAAUGAGACGUUAAUUUAACGGUAGAAUUGAAGUUUUGAUUAUAUAAAUAUAUUUAGAUUAUUGAGUAUUCAACCCAAAAAGAUAAAUAAGGAUAAGGGAACUUUAGGUUGUUUGUCAAAAUUUUGUGCGGGAAUCAUGAAAAAGCAGCUUAAUUUAUUCAAAACAACACCACCAAUUUUCUCUAAAAUAUAUUUUUAUGAGAUAAAUUAGAUUAAUUAAUUGACUAAAUGGAGUUCAAUUUAUUAUAUAUACCACCAUUUUUCAUGGCUUUAUUAACUUUUUAUGCCAAAUUUAACCUGAAUUUGUGGUCACGUUUGGCAUUUGAUGUGCCACACAAUCAUGCACCUAUCAUCACAAAUGUGUAACUCAUAUAUAAUAUACAUAAAAAUAUUACAAAAUAAUACAAGUUGGUAUGCAAUUUUCAAAGGUAUAAAUGAGAAAGUGAUACUCGUAAGUUAUUUGAGCUUGAUUGAAAAAAAUUAAAGAGUCGAGCUUGAGCUAUUAAACAAAUUGAAUUUAAGCACAAUAAUACUUGGUUUUUUAUUUUAUUUUAUAUCAUAACUACAUUUUUACCCUUAUUAUACUGGAAGAUCUUACAAAUGAAUAUGAACGAGUUUAAUUGAGCUUGAGUGUGAAAAUCGAUAAAAUAACUUAAUUAUAUCUAGAAUUAAUAUUGGAUCGAAUUCAAAUUAAUCUUGAAUUUCGAGUCCAACUUGAAUUUAAAUUUGGCAGCAAUGAAAUUCCACUCUACUCAAUAACAACCUAGUUGAAAAGAUCUAUUAACGCAAACAUAAACAUGGGUAUAUAUAUUAUAAAAUAAUAGGCAUGCAAAAGGUAAAGUAAUGACCAAAGAAUAUUCAUGAUGCAUACAUAAGUUAACGUGAAUCUUAUAUUUAAGAUGCCAAUCAUAUAUCAUGCCACCCAACAAAGAAUAUUCAUUAUAUGAUAAGUCAAUUUGUGUUCAUCAAAAUACAUACAAUAACAGUAACAAUUAAUAUAUAUAAUGUACAUAAAAUUUCACAAUCUCCUGUCCUUUCCCAUUCACUUAAUAUUGUUAAGUUGCUAAGAGCCAAACUAGAUAUGACCCAAAAGUUGGUAACAAUGGAUGAGCUUAUUCAUAUAUAUAUUUCAACUCUAAAAUCAUUAAAUAACUACUCUAAAUGCAAUAUAUAUUGUGUUGAGAUAAAGUUGGCUUCCAUGUAACCAAGCAUUUGCUGUAUAUUUUCUCUUCUUUUUGUUGGAGAAUUAUUGUAAAGAUGCCAAACACUUCAUUAUGAAAAUGAAGAAAAGAUUGUUUUUUUCUUGCUUGUCAGAAUCUGAUGGGUGUCUUCCAAUAACCACAUGCAUGUUUAUGUUAUGGGUUUUAUAUAGUGAUGUCAUUUGAGUAAGGAUUUGGUAAAAGAAUUUGGUUAAUGGGAAAAUUUAAGGUCAAAAUAUUAUAGCGAUAUUAUUUUUUUGACAUAAUAUUUAAUUUAUCUUCAAAAAGAUGAUGUAUUUUUCUACACUCGAACUCUAGUCCUUUUAUAUUGAUAAUAAUACUCAUAUCAAUUAAACUAAAAUUCGGUCCGUAAUCUAUUUACGAAUUCCUAAUAUGUUACAUAAUGUGUUUUAUAUCUUAUCAGUAAAUCAUAAAAUAUAAUGUAUAAAGUAAAGAUAAAGUUUGAUGUGGUAUCGUGGAUCACUGGAUUGCUUUAUAUUAGAAAACAACAAGCAUAUAAUAAAAAGUUAGGGCUGCAAUUGGGUGGAUAAGAAUGUCAAAAUUGUUGAUUAAAUUCUUUUGACAAGGGAGUCUUGGAUUGUAGUGCCUAGAAUUUAGGGUAUUAAUUUCAUAAGCCCCACUAGACUACCUUAUUAAACCAGAAAUUAAUAGCGGUCAAAUUUCAUUAUUAGUCCCCAUACUGUGUAAGUUACAGAUUUAGUAAUUAUACUCUAAUUUGGUCAAUUUAAGUCCUUGUACCUUUUGGAUUUAUCAAAUUUAGUCUUUCUACUUUUCGAAUUUUGAAAUUCUAGUCAUGAAUCAAACGGUAGCAAUUAAAUCCAUAUGGUCAAGUUAUGUUGUUAGUCCAGUACUAUAUGUAACUUUGUAGAUUUAGUCUAUGUUCUCCAAUUUUGAUCAUUUUUAUUACUUAUAUUUUUCAGAUUUUAAAAUUUUAGUCUUGACGCAAAAGAUAACUACUAAGUUCAUUAAUUGUAUUUUGUUGUGGGUACAUAAUAUGCGAGUAAGCUGACUUUGCAUUACAUAUAUGAUAGUAUGUUUGUUGGGUAAGAUUUUGGAAAUAGUAGAGCUUAAUAAUUUUAAUAGCUACUGUCUGGUCAAGACUAGAAUUUCAAAAUUCAAAAAGUAUAAGGACUAGAAAUGACCAAAUUUAAAUACAUAUAUAGGCUAAACCCACAACUUAUACAUAAUACAUAAUGUUUUUUUCAUCUAUUUAUCGUAUGUGAAUUGUAUAUGUGAAUAUCAUGUCCUCUUUUAGAUGUUAUAUAUUAAUAAUAUACAUUAUGUAGUCAUUUUGUCUAAUCAGAAAUGUAGAUGCAUACUCGUAUCAAAUACAUACUUAUAAUUAGAGGUGGAUCGUAAUGAAGGUUAAUUAGAGGGCUUGCCCUCCCAGAAUUUUUGAAAAUUUUCAUUUUCUUUUUAAAAUUUAUUGAAAAUUUUAAUUUGGCCCUCCAAUUUUUGAAAAAUUUUAUCAUGCCUUUUAAUGUUUUUGAAAUUUUUAAUUACGUUCUUCUGAUUUUUUUUAAAAAAAUCAUUAGAACCCCAUUUUUUGAAAAAAAAUCUCGUUAAACUCUUAAAGUUUUUAAAAAUUUUAAUUAUGCCCAAAAACUUAAUCCCAAAAUUCACCACAGCUUAUAAUCAACUCUCAUUUCGAAUUUGUGUAACUUACUCACCGUCUAAUCAUGAAAUAUUAAUCGUUGUUUCGAAUUUUGCCUUCAAAAUUCGAAACUAAGCUGUCGAAUUUGAAAAAAUCGAAUCGAAAUAGAAUCUCAACUCGAAAUUUUCAAGUUCAUGGAUGCUGACAAGGAUGCAAUCGAAGAAGAAAAAAAAUAAUACAUAUGAAUUUUCAUUAACUCAAUGAUCACAUUUUAAAUUAUUUUCAUUUUUUUUUACUAGUUUCUGCCACAACAAUGAAGAUGAAGCUUGACCUAUAUUCAAUCAAAUACUACAUAUUCUAUAGGGCAAAAAUUUUCAUGCUGUCUGAAAUUUUAGCAAUGUCAUUGGCAGAGUAAUGUACUGACAAAUUACGUGUCUUAUUUACUUGCUGGGAUAUGUCCCCAUUAUAAAAAAAUAGUCAAUAUUCGACAAAUUCCUGCUUCUUUGUUCCUUUGCUUGGUCCGACAUAAUGUGAAAAUUUGCCAUUCUUUCGAUUGCGUUUUCAAACUUUAUUCAAACCUUAAAUUCAAUAUGAAGAUUUAAAACCCUAAUCCUUUUCAACGUGAUUUAAACAUUAAACGUUAAAUCUAAUAUAAUCCUUUACUUUGUCUAAUGUAAUACAACAAGUUUUUGACCCGAUAAUGUGAGAUGUUAUUUAUUGAUGGCUGCAUAAAAUUUAUACACGGAUGAUGAAUCGAAUAUUAUUAUUUUUAUCGGUAAAAGUACUGUGGAAUUAAGUAAGAUUGCAUUUUGUCCUAUUUACUCAACAAAUGGGUAAAUUAAUCUUUAUACAUUAGAUCAAUGGGCAAAUUCGUUCUUUCUAUUAAAAAUUUCAUCCAUUUCUACUAUUAAAAACUGACAUGGCUGACAAAAUAACCAGACAGUUUUGUCACGUGUACCUUAUGCUAAUGCACAUGGACUAGUUUUUAACAGUAAAAAUGGAUAUAAUUUUUAAUAGAAUGGCUAGUUUCUCUUCGAUCUAAUGCACAAAGAUUAACUACUAUUAAGAAGAUAAUGCGCUUCAACUUACUUAAGCACACGUCCUCCUGUAUUGACAACAAUACCCAUGUCAAUCGAGCUAAGACUCAAUUGACACUUAUGAUCUUUUUCUUGCAUUACAGGUGUAUAAUGAGUCAAUUUAUGGGCCUACUAAAUUUAUUUUAUUUUUAAAUUUAGCUAGAAAUCUAUUAGCUUAAUUUAGUAAAUAACCCCAUUGCAUAAUUACGUGAUUCUAAUUAAAAUCAAAGUAUUUGGUAAUCAAAACUAAGGAUUAGAUUCUAGAAACAGAAUUUCUUAAGCUAAUUAAUGUUAUUGACAGGAGAGAUGUAGUUGCUUACACUAGCUAAAAUCAGCUCACUCACUCUUUUCAGUAAAUUAUAUUUAAUAUAGUCAUAAUAUAUAAUUUUAUAAAAUUUUAUAAAUGUACUGUAAUGGAAUUAUAAAUUUUUGAAAAAGUAAAAAAUAUAAAACUAUUAUGUAUUAAUUUAUAAUUUUAUUAUUUUUUAAGGGACUAAACAUAUAUUUUUUAUUUUUAGAUAUUUUAUUCCAAAAAAGUUAUAUGGAAAUAAGAAUGGCACACAAAGCACCAAAGAUAAAAAGGAAAAAGUGUAAAAGAUUAGAAAAAGAAGAAGCAAUGUAUAAGAAUAUAAAUAAAUGUGUAAUUAUAAAGAAGAAAAAGAUGAAGAAACUAUGGAUGCGACUGAUGUCUCCCAAUAUUCCAAAGGACUCACAUAAUAUUAUAUUAUAUAUAUACACCCUUCAUCCUAGAUUUAUAACAUCAACAUAAUCUUCAUGGGUAAGAUUUGAUAAUUUAUAGAAUAUAGAUACACCUAUUUGAAAAGGAAAAACAUAGACAAUAUUGUUAGAGUUUAGGGAAUAUUAUCUUUUUAGUAUAUUAAGAGUUUAAUUACAUUUUUGCUCAUUUUACUAAAAAAAUAGGUAAAUUAAUCCAUAUAUGUUAGAUUAAAGAGCAAACUAACCUUUUCCUUAAUUAAAAUUUUCAUCCAUUUCUACGGUUAAAAACUGGUAUGGCUGACAAAAUAGCCAAACUAUUACACAUGGUGCGCUAUGUGCAUCUUAUGCUGAUGUAUAGAGACCGUGUUUGCUUUUUGAUGUAAUAUUUAGAGACUAAUUUCUCCAUUUUUUGAGUAGAGGGGGUAAAACGCAAUCCAACUCUUAGUAAAAUGGCCUCCAUGGGACUUUUACCUAAAUUUAAGCUAUGUACAAACAUAAUAGAUGCACGUGACAUGCCACAUUUAAUUAUCUGGUUAUUCCAAUAGUGUGAAAAGAUUAAUUUACUUAAUUUUUUAAAUAAAAUUCAAUCCAACCCAAUCCAAUUGGUAAUACAAAUAACACCACAAUACAUUUACCAAUAAUACCUUCAUAAUUAGCAAUUCAAAUGAAACAUUAAUAUAAAAUUUUCCUCAUGUACCCAUCAUUUUCAACUUAUAUUUUCUCAUUUAUUUUGGGUGACUUUUCAAAAAAGAGCAUAAAUUCGAAUAACAACUCUAAAUAAAGAUUAAGUAGAAAGAAAAAAGAAAAAAAGAGAGGAGAAUUUGUUUUCUUAUAAAAUUGACUACAAAUAAGAUUUUACAAAUUUUACUACCAAAAAAAAGGAAAAGAAAACAUUUGCAAUGAUACCCUCGAUUUUCUUUUCUUUUUUGUGGCUUUGAAUUUUCAACGAGGGGUUUUAAUUUCUUCGCAUCUUUGACCCUAAAAAAAGGGGCUUUCUUUGGUUGGCUUUAAUUUUGAGGUGAUGCCAUAAAUUCUUUGAUACCGGUCAUGCCCCCACUUCAUAUACCCAAUAAAAUGUAGUACACUAGCGUUAUGGGCAAAGCUAUUAGCAUCCCAAAAAUAACACUGCAAUUAAAUUAAUUUAAAAUAAUUAAUAUUAAUAAUAAAAGAAUAAAAAAAGAAUAAAAUAUUUAAAACACUUACGCUGUGCUGAGAAUAUCAGGGUGUACGUUGUAUUCCUUGGCAAAGACAAAGGGGACAAUUCCUUGUGGGAGAGCUGCCUGUUAUUUGUUUAUUUAUAAUAAUAAUAAUAGUAAUUUUUUUAAGAAAAAUAGAUGCAAAGCCAAAAAAAAAAAGACAAGUUAAAAUUUGUAUAAAUGUAAAAUACCAUUUAUAUCGAAUUUUAGUUUUGCUUAUAUUUUAAUUUGACAUGAAUUGAUUAUUUUAGUUUAUAUAAUCGUUAGUUAGAUGGACAAGGAUAUUAUAAAAAAAUCAAAUUAUGUCUAAUGAAAAUAUUGAGACUAAAUUAUAAAAUUGAACAGAGUAAAAGUACCAAAAUUGAAAUUUAACUUUUUUUCAGAGGCAAGUACUGUGUCUAAUUCAGAUUUUAAUUUAUGAGAUAGAACAAUAUCUAGCCCGACAACUAUUUUUUAUCAUUUGAAAAUUUUAAAAUUGUAUAUAAAAUUUAAAAAUUAAAAAAUUAAAAUUUUAGAUUCUUUUAGAAACAAAAACAAUCUCAGUGUGGCAUAUCAAAUUAGGACCAAAUUAAAAAAAACUGUUUAAGAGAUCAAGAUGAGAAAAAUUACUAAGUUUAGUGACUAAAUAUUAAUUUACCCUUAUUUAUUUAGGCAAAGUGAAAGGAAAAAGAAAAAAGAAAAAAGAAGUGACCUGGACAAUGGCAACGUGUAAGAGAACGCCUUUAAGACCAACAGCAAUGGAAGCAGCAGCCAUGACAGCUGGUCCUGUAAGGAAUCUCACGGCCAUUGCAAAAGCUGCAACCGAAUUCCCACAUGCUAUGAUCUUUGGUUGCAAUGCCAUAAACAGACCUGUCAUUCACAUCAAACCGUGCCAUGCACCCCCCAACAUUAGAUUUUAAAACAUUUAAAUGAAAAAAAACACCUUUCAUCAUUAUUUCAACAUAUAUAUUAUCAUUACCAAACACUGUUUUUUCUUUGUUUUCUUUAAAAAAUGAUUUGUUGUUUGUAAUAAGAGACACUGACCAAGACUGAACAUAGCCAUGCCGAGACCUGCAUCUGACAGUAUAGAUAUCGACUUUGCUAUUAUUGCAGGCAUUUCCACAUUCCACCUUCAAAAACAAAAAAGACCAGUAACAAGAAAGCUUCAUUACGAAUGAUGCACAAUGAGGGAGGUGGAUCUCGUAACCUCAAAUAGUAAAAGUAUUAUGAAUGGAGUGUUUAUAUUGGAUUUUACAUUUUAGGUUUUUAUUUUUUAAUUUUGAGAAGAGUUUAAUGAGUUCAUGGAGUGUGGAAAAAUUUUGGUGGGAUUUAAAUCUUUGCCUUUAAAUGAUAUUAGUGAAGAAAAAUACUAUCAACUCGUUAAAAUUUUCUCGAAGUUGGAAGAUAAAAAAUCGAAAAUAAAAUUGACCUCUACUAUUUAAAGAUCAUUUGAGUAUUAGAUAUUGACCUCCAUCAUGUAAUAAAGAAGGUUUCUAGGUUCAUACCUGAAUGAGAUUAAUGACCAAGUGAGACCAAUUAAGCUUGAAUAAGUAUUGGGGUUUCUAAUAAGUUUUCUCCAAACCAUAAUCAAUAUCAGCCUUGUCAUUACACUCGUUGGUGGCAUGGUUUUAGGGUUAGCAAUGGCAAUGGCUUCCCCAACUUUGUUGUUUUCACCACUUUCUUGGACAUUGUUCAUUUCUCUUCUGUUCCCAAAACUGAACUCAUCUCUUUCCAUAAACUCCUCUUGAUUAUCUCUAUGUCCUUCCACUGUCAACAAAACAAACAAUCAUAUAUAUAUGUUUAAAAAACUAGUUAAAUGCCGUAAAAAUAUUCUUUAAAUUAUGAAUUAAAUUAUAUUUUGUUUCACGUAUUUAAAAAAUAAGUAAAUUAAUUUUACACAAUUAAUAUUUUCUAUUAAAUUUUUUUAUUUAUUUUACUAAUAAAAAUUAUCUAAAAUUUUUAUUUACUCUUCAACCUAAUCUCCAUCUAAUUUUACCAUUCAUGUGUAGGUAUUAAAAAACCAGGUCAAAAGCUUGUACCUUUGCCAGGGGAGACAGCUAACCGAACUUCUUUCUGGUCGGUAACACCAUAUUCAUGGCCACCGCCGAACACAUCUGAUACCGGAGAAGCACUUGAACUCCAAACAAACAUAUGAAGAUCCUUACCACCACCAUCUUCAACCUUUUGAUGAGCUUGUCCAUUAGGUUUCUUAACACCUUUAGACCCAGUUGGUGAAAACAUACCCGGAUUAGGAGCCGGGUAGUGUCCCGUUACACCACUUUGUCCAUGGUAAUGAAACCUCGGCUUACCAGAACCAUCCUCCUCGUAAUUUGAUGGUCUGGGUGUCGGUCCACGUGAAGCAGACAUACCAUAAACAUCACCGGAACCAAAGUUCGAGUUCCGACCACCGGCCAUCAUAGAAUAAAAAUCAGUAUGGUUAAAACUCGAACCUCUAGGUGUUGGAUUCCUCGAUGAUUGUAAAGAGUAAAUCUCAGCAUUAGUUAAAUUCGAUGGCCGGGGGGUAGUCGAAGACAAACCUUGUGACCUUCUCGAAAAAAUAUCAGACCUCGAAGCAUUAGAUUUUCGAACCGUAACAUGCAACUUACCGUCGUCUUUAAUCUCAGCUUCGGUUUCUAACGGCUGCCGACCGUCGAGCGACAUGAUGUCGGAAUCGACAUGGAUAGACACAAUAGAACCAGCAGUGUCGGGGAAUUGUUCAGAGAUUAGCAUCUUAGCACCGCGAUAUUCAAACAUAAAUAGCAUUAAAGUAUACCAAAUGAUACAUUGAAGUACAACGAUUUGUACCAUUAAACUCCCUGAAAAUUCACCAUACAUACCUUUAAGUAAAGGUAUACCCAUAACUAAAGUAUUGGGUAAUGUUGAAAGUGAAAAUAAUGUUAUGGUCCAUUCUAAACAACCCCUUUUACUUACUUUGGACCAAAUGGCUAACACAACUAAAACUAUAAUCUUUUGUAGUGUAUCAGCUGCUAUGAACCGGAAGUUCAUGGUGUACGGAUUGUUUGAAGCUAUGAAAUGAAAUGAAAGUAAUGGAACGGCGAAAAGAGCAACGAACCGGUUGAUGCCGGAACAUUGGUCGGGUGUGAAGAUUUUCCACCAUUUCACUGAACCGUAAGCUAAAAUCAUGGCCACGUAAAGUGGUACCAUUGCGGUCAUAACAUGGUAAAAAUCUGUUAAAGUGAUCAUCUUUGAAACACCCUGCUUACAAGCUUACUAAUAAAAGAGACCCAAAAUUUUACAAGAAGAAGAGGGUUGGUGGCGAUGAUGAGGGAAGAAGAGCAUGUGUUUUUGGGGUUUAGAGAGGAAAGUGAGAACAAGAGAGGGGACGGGGGGGGGGGGAUUUUUUUUUAUACACUAAAACAGCUCUUGAGAGAUGUGAGCAAGCUUUGCACUUCCAGUCCCCAAUGCUUUUGAAAGGAAUAAGGGAAUGGGGGGUUGCUUUUUUAUGGUAGAUUUUGGAGUUUUUGGCUUUAGGUUUUUGUUUUGGUUAAAUUUUACUUUAAGUAGUUGUAUUUUUUAUAAAUUUGGAAUUUAGUUUUUGUAUUUUUAUUUUUUUAAAAUUUAGUUUUUUUAUUUUAGAUUUUAAAAUUCAGGUCUAAUCGUUAAUGUUGUUCAAAUUAUUUUGUUAAAUUCAAGUUUAUUAUAAUGUUAUUUUUUUAGUCACAUUAUUUCUAAACAAUGACAAAUCUAAAAAAUCGCUUUAGGGGCAAAGAUAACUCAUAAAUUUUUGGGUAGAGAUGAACCAUUAAUUUUUGGCUGGUCAAGGUAUAAAUUUAUCAUUAUAUUAACUUAAAAUUUUUAAAUUUUGAAAAGGCAAUACGAAAAUUUUACUAUUUUUGAGAGGUGAAAGCCACCGCUUCC
rnacentral:lncRNA from 1 species